rnacentral:lncRNA from 1 species
UGAGUAGUACUAUUUGAUGUUGGAGUUUGAGGUCGUACCUCAAAACGGAUUGUGAUGCUAGGUGGAGACAUCACGAGGAUGAUGUUGCCUAAGCCUGUAGUACUCUACCAGUGUUAGGGACUUGUGGAAUGAUAAUUCCAAGCCUUUUGGAUGGAUUUGUGGAACCGGUCGCGGAUGGCCGUGAAUAUUCCUACGAAGGAUUGAGAGGAUCGACUGCGAGGCAGGUUGACAUGAUCGAGAUGUGAAACUCUCACUGUUGGAUCAAGUGAUUGGAAACUCGAGGGGGGGAAAGAUACCAAGUUGCUGUAUUUCCUUGCCCGAUUUAUGCACCAGGAACCAAAAUCUUGGAGAUGGAAACUGCGUGAGAGAGUUGUUUGGAUUGAUAUUUUUGGUUGAUGGUCACAUUAGGAUGACAUUGAUUGAGAGCUAUUAUUGAACUGUGGAUUGAUCCCUCUCUAUCACUUGAGAUUGGCUCGGUGACUAUGAACACCUGGAGCAUCCGAUGCUAAGGAAAGCAUUGAGGAUGAGAAUUUUUGAAUGAUUCUUAUGGAGCAACUGAAUGAUUAAUGUAGGAGACAUUCUAUCGAAGUUGAGCCUUUGGCUUAGGCUUGCGAAGAGUUUACUUGGACUUGAGUUGAGACUAAGAUGAUGAUCUUAGUGGAAUGACGAAGCUCCUGAGCUUUGGUCCCUGACCAUGUAUUGCAGAGGAUUUGAGGGUACUCUCGGGUGGUGAGUUUGAGAUUGAUGUGGAGGCAUCAUAGUGCCGUGCCGAUUGAGAAAUCAAGUAAUCACCUUUGGUGAGCAAGUUGGACGAUUCGUCGGUUCCUGUUGCUAUUGGAAGGUUGGCUACCUUGGAUGUUGGUUUAGAACCGUUCGUGCCAAGCAAGAUUAGACGGAUGGAUGGACGUUGCAAUUAGCAAUGAGAUGGAAUGGGGUACACCAUACUUAACCUUGGAUCGAAUUGCACUCAGUUGUGCCAUCUCGAGAAGAGACUUGAUCUUGGAUUUGAAGGAUCACCAUUGGAAUAUGAACCGAUGAGCGGAUGUUGCAUCACCUCUUCUUGGUGAGUGUUAAUCAGAUGAGCACUCCGAUGGUGUUUUGAUAGACGAGCAAUGGAUUUAACCCCCCCUGACGCUUGCUUUGGACAGUACCAUUGAAUCCACCUUGAGGGGUAUUUGGAUGGAAUCCUAUAUACUAGAGUAAUUGAAGCAGAGCAAGGCUUUACCCUCGGCUUGGACGAGAAAGGUGAGAAUUGGAAUUCAGCUCUCGGAAACACUUGAGUUCGUGAGGACCAGCUGAUGGACUUGUUGAACAAGUACGGAUUGGAGAUGGAACUUUCGGUGAAGACUUGAGUUCAAGGAGCUUUAGCGGAAGUUUAGGUUGUGUUAUGCCAAAGCCUUGAUGUCGCAAGAUCUUGUUGUGUUUGUGCCUUGGAGCUUUUCGGCACGUUUGAGACCUCCAUGGUCUGUUUAGGGCGCUGUUGGAGCGCUUUUCCAUCCCUUUCGGAUGGGUUUGUUGUGUGGUUGACCCGCAGUUUCAUGGAUGAAACUCCUUUUUAGGAGGGAAGAAUGUAACACACUGGACUUUUGCAUAUGGCAAGGUUCGAGUGUUUGAUCUGUGUUCCGAAUUUUUCAAGAUAUUCUGGAGGGUCGUCGAUAGUGGUCCGACCCAUGGCUCGCAUCCCGAGGAAUAUAGUAUUUUAUGUAGCACUAAGGUCACCAAAGGGAUGGACUUAGGCUGCCCUCGGAUUGCACUCUGCACAUGGUGAAACCGGUGACAGGUCGAUGGCUGUACCGGUACACAUUUUGUACCGGCACACUUUGAUGGUUGUACCGGUACACUUGUGCCGAAUUUCAAACCCGAGGCUUGGGUUUGCAUUUUCGCGGGAUUUGUACCGGUACACUUUUUCGUGUACCGGUACACUUUGGCAGAUUUUGAAUGGUCGAAUCUGCAGAGGUGUUUUUGCAAUGUGGCUUCCCUAUUUGUAUCCCCACGCCCUAGGAGCCUCCCCUGAGCUUGGCACCUACAAGGAGAAAGGUGAGGAAGCCCUCCACACCUCUCUUUGUAAUUUUCUUGAUUUUGUUUGGGUUUUAUAAGAUUAAAUGUCUCUUUUGCUUCUUUUUGGUUGUUGGAGGCUUUUCCCACCAUUGGAGCUUGAGUUUGAUGCUUGGUUGAGGAAAGAUCCUUGAAGUUUGAGAACUUUGAGCUUGGAUUGAAGCCUCUAAAAAGUUUGUAGCAAGAUCUUUUCCUCUAGAUUUGGUUUUUGAAGGUUUCUUUGAGAUGAAACCCUAGAAUGGGCUUUCAGGGUUGAUUUUGGGCUUUUUGGAUUUAGGACUUUUGGAGCUCAAUUUCUUGGAUUAGAACCUUCCUUUGGGUUAGAUUGGAAGGGUUCUAACUCUCUUUUGGAGCUUGAGAAGAGAUUUUCACUCUAUAGGUGAGUUUUAGCCCUUUUGUUGAUUUGGUUAAUAUUCGAUCACAAGGUUGUUCGUUUGAUUCGCUAAUCCCUUUUAGAAUGUCUUCUAGGGAGCUAGGAGGCUAGUGGGCAACCCCGUUCGGCGAAACGAAGGGUUCCGAGACGCUUCGGUGGGUUUCACCUAGCCACCUAAUGAGAAAAUCUCAUUUGUGAUGAUUUGAGUAUCGUAAAAUAAGAAAGCAUGCAUAUUCAUAUUAAAUAUAUUUGUUAUGAAUUUUAGAGUGAUCAAAAUGCCUAUGUUACAUAUAUUGUAUUUUUGGACCUAUAUGUAGUAGAGAGUUUGCAUGUUGGGUAAGCAUGAGGGUAGCAUUCUUAUUUGUGGAUGGGAAUCAUGUUUUAUUUAGUGGAAAUGGUUAGUGCAAUGCAUUUUGGGACUUGGAACUCAUGCUUAGUUUACAUGAUUAUAAAUGUCAUUAAGUGGCACUAGAUUCGAGAGAUGUAAGGUAUAUUAAGCUAAUGUCAUAAAGGGGCAUUAGCCUUGAAUGAUAUGUGAGUUGCAUGUGCAUGCUAACAUUACGAGAACUAUGCUAAGUUGAUAGUUGUAUACGGACGCAUUGAAACCUUAUGCUAGUGCAUAGAUGCAUGUUAAUAUUUAUAUGCAUUGUGGAAUACAUGCUAGGAACAUGUUAGCAAUGUGGGAUCACGCUAGGGGGCAUGCGUAUUAACCUAUAUAUGAUAUGGUAAGCUAAUGUCAUAAAGAGACAUCGGGCUUGGAUUUGACAUAGUAAGCUAAUGUCAUGAAGAGGCAUUAGGCUUAGAAUACAUAUGGACUUAGUAAACCAAGGUAAAUGACAUGUGAAUUUGGGAGCUAAUAUCAUAAAGCGGCAUUGAGCUCGGGUUACGGUGAACCUAGUGGAUAGGGCCAUUGAGAGUUUCAGGAUUGGAACAUACUUGAACAUAGAAAUGCCUUAGUGUCAUAAAGGGGUACUAGACCUAGUGAAUGUUGGAACUUCACAUUGAGUUAUGGAACUAGAUCAUUGGAUGCUAGUGGCUAUUACCAUGUUAGAGACAUGAUGAUUGGACUCUUAAGACGUUGAUUAUGCUUGCUUGCCAUUUGUGCUCAUUCGCACAUGCUUGUGAGGGUCGCUCCCUACAAGCCGGCACUCCGGAGUUGGCCUACGGGACUUAUGCUCGCUCUUGCGGUAUCGAGAAGCCUACGGGGUCGGGAGGGAUAGACUAAUUCCUAGAGUCGGAAUGUUUGAGCUACCACCGGCACUUAAACGGCACAAGCCGGACUACACUUGUGUAGGUCCUAAAUGGGAUUAAACCAGAAUAUUAAACAACAAGUUGAUAAUCACUACUAGACAGGUUAUAGUAGUUAGAUUCGUGACAUGCUAUGGCAUAGGAUUGAACUUUUGGAUAUAUAGUAUACUUGACAGUUUCGCAUAUUGCAUUGUAGUAUACUUGUUGCCAUGAUAGUACAUACUAGAUAUGUAGUGGACUUUGGGACAUAUAGCAUACUUCAUAGUAUUACUUGUUGUAUCAUAGCAUGUAUAUUUAAGUAUUGGUAGAUUGACUCAUGUAGAGUAGAUGUACUCCAUAUUGACAUUCUGAAUACUUGUGGCAUAGUAGUAUAGCAUUUCAAUAUAUGCUUUUAUUUCCGCAGUUGUUAUUUUGUUAUCUAUAUCUGCUUUUGAUUCGGCCUAGUGGUGCAUUUUGCUAAAGUCAGUAAUUGCCCAUUGGGAACUAUAAAUUAUAGUUCUCACGCCCCCUGUUUUAUGUUUUUUUUCAGAGCCUUCCACUCCGGGAGAGGCUCGGGAUCGCCGGAAAUGUUUCGCCUCGAGUUAGCUAUCGAGGGACUUGGUGAUAGGUAAUGCACCUCUCUUUUGUUUUCUUUUGGAGAGGUUGUGAGAGUUUUGUAUCUGGUUAUAGAGACCACCUUGUUUUUGUAUCUUGAGAUUUAUGAUGUAUUAGUUUGCUUUCUGCUUCAGUAGUUUAGUUAUCUUUUUGACUCUACUUGUCGAUAGAACCUAGCUGUGUUUUUGUUUUGAUAUCUCUAGAUAUUUUCUACUUCUUGUUCAUUUAUUCGUUUUUGUUGUAGACGCCUUAUAUGUGCAGGCAUAUGGUGGGUCUGGGCACGCACCGGGCGGGUCUACGCCGGGUCCCGGGGCGUGACACAUAUAGCUGUAGAUUUAUUCCAGCUUCCUUUUCUAUCACUAAGCAUAGAUCUGUAGACUUAGUGGGUGAGCCGAUGAUUUUGAGGGCGAUACCCUCUGAGGACUACUUCUUUUGCAGUAGUUGUCACGCCCAGUUGUUACUCCUAUUUUUGCAGAGCCAUUGCCUUCGGCUAUUGCUGUUACUGAUUUAGAUCGUGGCGAGGGCGUCGCGAGUUAGAGCCCUUCCAGCCGAGCCAGAGCUAGAGGAGUAUCAGCUACAGGUAGUUGUAGUUUUUGGUUCUUUACAUACUGAUAUUAUACCUCACUGGAGCGAGUGUUUUUGUACUAGGAUGAUAUGUAUGUAUCGAACCACUGUUUUAUAUAUGGUUUAGUUUCUUAGCAGCUCUAUACUACUGUUUGUAGUAUUGUUUGAUUAUAGAUACUUUUACUGUUUCGCUUCGUAUAUAGAAAAAAUUUCUAUGUAUACGGCGGGUCUGUUAGCGUGCCCGGGGAAACGGGUAAUCCGGGACAUGACAACCGUCACAGACCCCAACGGCCUACUUACUAAGUCUACGAGAUUAACAGUAUAGCUGGUAGGUAAAGAAACAGUUAGGUAAGCUGGAAUAAAACUCUACAGCUGCUAUGCCACUACUCUACCACUAUGCAUGUCAGGAUCCCUAUAAACAUAUGCUUCACUAGCUAAUAAAACAACCCUUACUGACCCAAUCUAUAGGGACUGCAGUAUGCCCGUCCCGCCUGUCUAAGCUAUACCGUACACCACCCCGAGGGCAGCCGGUUGUGGUGCCCCAACUUCCCAGGGGGUCACCCGUCCUAGGACUACUCCCAUCCUAGCGCGCUUAACUCUCUUAACCUCUUGGACCUAGCCACUACCAAAAUGCUUAAAGCGGGUUAAGAGUUUAGUUCUAUUAUAUCUUAUAUAUAGAACUACCUGGGGUCUCACAAUCUCCCCCCUUUAAGUCUUGACAUCCUCGUCAAGCUCAGACUUACAAUUACCAGGUGAUGUAAGACUCGUCUCGCUAGUCAUAACUGACUUUGUGGGGGAGCCACGCUCAACCCACAACAGUCAACAGCAUGAGAGCCUCGCUCUCGCUGCUGUAUAAUCCUGGCUUAGCUGAGACUCAUCUCACAUUUUCAGUUGGUAAUUGGUUCUGAUACCAACUGUGACGCCCCAACUUCCUAGGGGGUCACCCAUCCUAGGACUACUCUCGCCCUAGCACACUUAGAUCUCUUAACCUCUCAGGCCUAGCCACGCUCAAAAUACUUAAGCCCGAUUAUUAUUACUAGGGUGGAAAUGACAACUCCAUUUCUAUUCGAUGUGGGACUAUUGGGGUAUCACAAACACCCCCCGUUUAGGCCCUUACGUCCUCGUCAACCCUAAACACACACAACCCAAGAUCACAAGGCGAUGUGAGACUUAUCUCGUUAGCCUUUGUCAUUCCGACCCUGACUUAGCCUGUCAAUCACCGACCCUGGCUUAGUUCGUCAUUCCGACCUUGGCUCAGUCAAGACUCAUCACACACUUUCGGCUGGUGAACUGGCUCUGAUACUAACUGUGACGCCCCAACUUCCCAGGGGGUCACCAUCCUAGGAUUACUCCCGUCCUAGCACGCGUAACUCUCUUCACCUAUUGGGCCUAGUAACCACCCAAAAUGCUUAAGCCGGAUUAAGAGUUUAGUCCUAUUAUAUCUUAUAUAUGGGACUACCUGGGGUCUCAUAAUCAACCACAGUUUAGGAUAACCCUGUAAGGAAAUGUGCGCAUCUGCAUGUGCAUGUAAUGGAGCGGAAAUAAAUUUUAUUUGUAAAAUAUGAUCCAAUCAUGUAUACUUUAAUAUCAUAACAUUUAUAAUAUUAGUAUAUAUAUAUGUACCAAGAUCAUCUUGUGUGACACACAAAAUUAUUAUUCUAAUUUAAUUAGAAGAAGGGUUCGAAUUUUAACUUGUGCAAAUUACCAAAUUAUUUCACGGUUGACAUGGAUCUGAACUUCUGGUCCUUUGAGCCGCACAAGUGUUCGGCCUCUACGUGUAUCCACACAAGGCUGCUCCGGGAUCUGUGCUUUAUACAAUCACAGUGUAAUCUCGAAACACCUUUCGUGAUCUCUUGUGUCAAUGUGGAGAAAAAUUAAUCCUCAAAUUGUGCUAGUAAUUUGAAGAGGAUUAACUAUAGAGACUAAUUAAUAUUAGAGGACCACUCUCUUAUGAUUAAAAGAGAGCUCUAUAUAAUUAAAAAGCUUUCUCUCUUUGUUUUGUAUUCUACUUCUCACCUAUAUUGUAAUAAAUCUCAUCAUCAAGAUAAGCCAUUAUUUAUAGGUGAGGCAACAUAUGAGUGGAGAGAAUGUCACGCCCCGGGACCGGCGGAGGCCCUCCCGGUAGCGUGCUCAGACCCGCCAUAUGUCUACACAUAUAAGGCGUCUACAAUAACAGCGGAAAUAAGGCAAGAGAUAUAAUAAAAGGAAAGGAAUACAACUAAUGAUAUCAGAGCAGUAUGAUUCUACCAACUAUAAAGAGAGUACAAAGAUCACAAAUAAACCAAAACAGUAAAAAUAAGACAUAAAGUAGUACAAUAUCUGUCUCUAGUACAAAAAUGGUGGUCUCUUUACAUAUGCGGGUACAACUCUCGACCUCUCACAAAAUAAAACAACGAGAGGUAGACCACCUAUCGAAUCGUCCUCAAAGGAAGCUAGCUCGAAGCAACUCCCUUCCUGCGGUCCCUAGCCUCUCCCGGCGUGGAAGGCUCUGAAAACAUCAAGAAAACGAGGGCGUGAGAACUAUAAUUUAUAGUUCCCAGUGGGCAAUUACUGACCUCAGCUCUAUGCACCACUAGGCCCCGAAAGAAAAGGGUAAGUACCAUAAGCAAUAAUAGAUCAUCAAUCCUCGGUAAUGGAUAAUUAUUCUUAAUCGUGACUUUAUUAAGUUUACGAUAGUCCACGCAUAAGCGAAGUGAUCCAUCAUUCUUCUUCACAAAUAGGACCGGUGCUCCCCAAGGUGACACACUCGGUCGCACAAAACCCUUGUCCAGAAGAUCCUGUAACUGUGCCUUCAACUCCUUCAAUUCUGCUGGUGCCAUCCUAUAGGGUGCCUUUAAGAUCGGGGUAGUCCCGGGAACGAGAUCUACCACAAACUCAAUCUCUCUAUCAGGUGGCAUGCCUGGAAGCUCCGCUGGGAACACAUCUCCAAACUCCCGCACUACGGAAAUAUCCUCAAUCCUAGGGGCAUCAUCAUCACCCCUCAACACAACAGUAGCCAAAUAGGCCACACAGCCUCUACUAAUCAACUGCCUAGCUCGAGAGGAGCUAAUCGUCAUCGCAAAAAGCGAACUCUGGCAUCCUCGGUACAAAACCUCCGCCUGCCCCGGCUCUCUAAACGUCACCGUUCGAUUCUUGCAAUCAAUGGUAGCAAAGUACUUGGUCAACCAAUCCAUGCCCAACACAACAUCAAACUCCCGAGUUUAUGCAAAGCUAGCAAGUCCACGGGCAUGAUCCAAUCUCUAACCCGAACAGGACAACUGGGGCAAAACUCCCGAAUGUCCAAAAAAUGAUCGGGUACAACAACUCGUCUCGGAUGCAAAAAGGGUACAAGUGGGAUGCCAUACAACUCGGCAAACAGCCGGUCUAUGAAUGAAUGCGAUGCACCGGUAUCAAACAAAGCUCUAACUCGAAUAUCAUAAAGUAAAAUGAUACCUGCGACCACAUUCUCGGCUGCCGCCGCCUCCUCAGUCUGGGCCGCGUACAUGCGCCCGCUCGGGGCCUGUCGUGACCCCUCCGCCUGUCGCAGAACUGGCGGCCGUCCUGCCUGGUGAUGCGCAGAAGAUGUCCCCUGGCUGGGACCUGGCGAUGCUGGUGCAGAUGCCGCAGAUGGCGCUGGCAAUGGACUCCUCGGGCAGUCCGACUGGAAGUGGCCCUCCUGGCCACACAAGAAGCACCUGCCCCGGCUGCGUGAACACUGCCGCGGGUAAUGAGGACCGCCACAGAUCACGCAGCGGGGGGCCUGGCGACGAUCGGGUCCUCCUCGCUGGGUAGACUGGCCGCGUCCUCGCGACUGGCUCCUGCUCCUGGGAUGCCUCGGCGGCCUCCGUGAGUGCGUCUGACUCGCACCCUCAGCCGCGGGCCUCUUGCCCUUCCCUUUCUCCAAGCUCUCGCGACGCUCCUGCAGAUCCGCCGCUCCUGCCUCCACUAUCAAAGCUCGAUCCACAACCUCCCGGUAGGUCUGGAGGUUGGAAGACUGCACCAACCGGAAGAUAGAAGGCCGCAAACCGCGCUCAAAGAUGCGGGCCUUGUCCUCGUCGUCCCUCACAACAAACGGUACACAGUGUAGUAUCCGGGAGAACUCCCUCUCGUACUCAGCCACUGACCGCUCAUCCUGGCGCAAGCUGCGCAAAUCCUGCUCCAUCUUCCUCUUGACGCUGGUAGGAAAGUGGUGCGCCAGAAGAAGCUCCUUGAACCUAGUCCAAGUAAUCGCUGCCAAGUCGGUGUUGGGGUUGUCCUGGAUAUCCAACCACCAACGGUAGGCCUCGCCGUCCAGAAAGUGAGUGGCGAGCCAAACUCUAUCCCGCUCCUCCACAAAGGUGUCUCGAAACAGCUUCUCCAUGUGCAGUAACCACUUCUCAACAAUCCAGUGGUCGACGUUCUCGCCAUCAAACGUCCUCGGGCUGCACCUCCUGAACUCGCUGAGGCGCUCCAUAAGCCGAUCCCGCUCGGCUCCCUCAGCCAUCACGGGGAAAGCUGCUCCUGUCGCCGGUCUCUGAACAGGUAGUGCCGCAGCCACCUCCUCCCGAGGUGCGGUCGCCGGUGCCGCACGUGAAGAACUGGGCGCGGGGGACUGCGCCCUCGGUGCGACGUCCACCACGGGUGCUGGCGGUGUGGGACCCUGGGUCUCCCUCGAAGCUGCCGCCUGCUGAAGUAGGAGGUUCUCAAGAUGCUUCAUCCGCGCCUCUUGCCGCUGAGCCACCUCAGCCUAUCGCUGCGCCGCUGCCGUCUGCUGCGCCAACAAAUCAGUGAGGACCGCAAGCUGGGUCCUCAAGUCACGGACCUCACUAGAUCCGGAAGUAGCGGAGGUCUCGACCUCCUCGGGGUGUGCCGCAUCAUCCGUCCCGGCAGACUGGGAGUGUGUAAUCGGCAUCGUCACUACAAAAUAUAAAAGCGUAAGUUAGUAACCCACGCUAUUGCAUCCCCGCUCAAAUAGAUAAAACCCAAAUCAUGCGAAAGUAGGAGAGUAUCCUUCACUACUAACUCCCGAUGUUACGUUGUCGGCCGCCAACGUAACCCUCUGCGGAGUUAGAAGCCAUAUACUCCGGUCAAACUCUAACUUUUUAGAGUUGUCAUAAAACCCAAUCAUAAUACUAUCGCUCACAAGUCAAUUAGACCUCGUCUCUCACGAGCCUAAUUCUCAUUGUCCAACCGGCCUAAGGUUUGCUAGGUCCACUAAGACUCAACCCUAGGCUCUGAUACCAAAUUAAUCUGUCACGCCCCGGACCGGCGGAGGCCCUCCCGGUAGCGUGCCCAGACUCGCCAUAUGUCUACACAUAUAAGGCGUCUACAAUAACAAUGGAAAUAAGGCAAGAGAUAUAAUAAAAGGAAAGGAAUACAACUGAUGAUAUUAGAGCAGUAUGAUUCUACCAACUAUAAAGAGAGUACAAAGAUCACAACUAAACCAAACAGUAAAAGUAAGACAUAAAGUAGUACAAUAUCUGUCUCUAGUACAAAAAUGGUGGUCUCUAUACAUAUGCGGGUACAACUCUCGACCUCUCACAAAAUAAAACAACGAGAGGUAGACCACCUAUCGAAUCGUCCUCGAAGGAAGCUAGCUCGAAGCAACUCCCUUCCCGCGGUCCCUAGCCUCUCCCGGCGUGGAAGGCUCUGAAAACAUCAAGAAAACGAGGGCGUGAGAACUAUAAUUUAUAGUUCCCAGUGGGCAAUUACUGACCUCAGCUUUAUGCACCACUAGGCCCCGAAAGAAAAGGGUAAGUACCAUAAGCAAUAAUAAUAAAGAUAACUGCAAUAAGAAAGCAUAAUGGAAUGCUAAGCUACUAUAUCUUAAGUAAACAUGAUGUAAGUAUGAUGUACAUCUACUCUAUCAUAAGCAAGUACGUCCAAUGGCAACAAGUAAGUGCUAUGGUCCAAAAUGUCAUACAUAAAGAAUGAGCUCUAUCAAGCAACCCAGUAUACUAUGAUGUAAUGAAUGAAACAGGCAAGUAUACUAUAUAUCCCAAUGCUAUGUCAUGAGCAUGUCAAGCAAUCCAACUACUAAGCCUAUCCAGUAGUGAUUAUUCAUUCUCAACACUGUGUCGAUUUCCGUUUCCAAUUAAGGACCUACCAAAAGUAGUCCAGCUUGUGCCGCCUAAGUGCCUGUGGUAGCCCAACAUCCCUACUUUUGGAAUGUGUCUGUCCCAAUCGACCCCGUAGGCUUCUCAAUACCGCGCGAGCGAACAUAGGUCGCAUAGACUAACUCCGGAGUGCCGGCUUGUAGGGAGCGACCCUCACAAGCAUGUGCGAAUGAGCACAAAUGACAAACAAGCGUAGUCAAAGCUCAAGUAUCCAAUCCUCAUGUCUCUAACAUGGCAAAAGCUACUAGUAACCCAACGGUCUAGGUCUAUAUCACAAUUGAUAACUCAACACUCACUUGCUUAGUGCCUCUUUAUGACACUUAAGCAUCACCACUAAUCAAGUUCAAUUCAUGUUCUAUAUUCCAAUUAGGACAUUAAUACCAAUGUUCACUAUAGCCCGGGGCCCAAUGCCUCUUUAUGACAUUGACCCAAAAUCCCAAAUAGUCUAAGUCCCCAAGCCUCUCUAGGCUUCCAAAGUCCCUAAUGUCACAAUUAGGCAUAAAGGUUAAAUGCAUAAAAGCAAUGUUCAUUUUCAUAAUAGGAAUCAUGGUUCCAAGUCUCAACUAGAACGCUAUAUCCCACAUGCAUGCACUCUACCACAUAGGGGUCCAAAGAAUUUACUAUACAUAACAUAUGUAUGUCAAGCAUUCUAAAAUUCAUAAUAAAUGUAUCUAGCAUGGAAAUACAUGAAUAAUCAUUUAACGAAGCAUAAACCAGAAGUUAUGAGAAUUUCUAAUAAUAUAGGCUAGGUCAAACCCACCAAAAUCGAAACCUUCGUUUCGCUGAACGAAGGUAUCCACUAGCUUCCUAGCACCCUAGAAGCAUCAAAAACGGGGUUACCCAAACGAAACGAAGAGCAAAAAGCUCAAUCAUUAAGCAUCAAGCAAAAAGGGUCCAACUCACCUUAAGAGUAAAAACCCUCUCCUAAGCUCCAGAAGAGAGCUAGAAUCCUUCCAAUCUAGCCCAAAGGAGGGUUCUAAUCCAACUAAUCGAGCUCCGAAAGCCCUAAAACAAAAAUGCCCAAAAUAAACCCUAAAACCUCACUCUAGGGUUUCAUCUCAAAGAACCUCCAAAAUUCAAAUCUAGAGGAAAAGAUCUUGUCACUUACCUCUUAGAAGCUUCAAUCCAAGCUCUAAAUCCUCAAACUCCAAGGAUCUUCCCUCAACAAAUCUCCAAGACCAAGUUCCAAGCUUCAUCCAUGGAGGGAAAAUGCACCAAGAGGGAAAAAGCGAGAUUAAACCUUUAAUCCCAAGCCAAAAAGGAGAUCCAAUCCAAGUGAAGCAAGGUGGAGCUCCCCUUACCUUCUCCUCCUCAGGUUCCAGCACAAGGGAGGCCCUAAGGGGCGUGGGUGCUGUUAUAAGGGUGCCACAAUCGCGAAAAACCCCCUGCAGUUCAAACUGCACGAAAUCAGCCUCCUUAUACCAGUACACGGGCCCUUGUACCGGUACAAGCCCUGCGAAAAGUCUCAACCCGAGGCUCGGGUUGGGGGGGGUUCAGCGGCUCUGUACCGGUACAAGCCCGGUGGCUGUACCGGUACAACCAUCAACCUUGUACCGGUACAACAUCAGCCUUGUACCGGUACAAGCCCUGCUGAAGGCUACCCGAGAGCUGACCAAAAAUUCGAUUUUUCGGGUUUUGGUUCCAAGCAUUAGACCUCAAUUCUCGGGAUGCGUGCCAUAGGUCGGGUCACAGUCAACGACUCACCAGAAAAUCUGGGAAAGCUCAGAGCACAGCCAAUCACUCGAACCUCGCAAUUUGCAAAGAUCCAGUGUGUUACAGAGAAGCGGAAGAGGUGGGGAGACAUUCUCUGCGCAAUUAGUAAUGCGUUUCUCCCUCUGCAAAAGAUAAGAUUGUGGAGAGAAGUCCCAUAAAUGAGAGGAGUUAACUCCUCUCAUUUAGUGCAUGGAGAUGCGAAGAGAAUGAAGAGAAAAAGAAGUUUUCUCUUCUACAUCAUAAAUGCUAGAGUUUCUCUUCUCAUCUUUUCUUCCACUUUCACUUCGUAACUCCUCAAAUUAAUCUUUAUUAAUUGAGGAGUUGAUGAGAGAAUAAUUUAAGUGCAAGUGCACCAUAUGCAACAAUUGCGUUUAACUCUACAACUUUCAAUUUUACAAAUUGGUCCUUCUUGCUAAUCAAUUUAGCAAGUAAAUUCUGACUUUGCUACUUUAGCAAAAUAGUCUCUGUUAAUUCUCCAAGCACUAGAUCACACGCAGCCUUUAUUGUGUGUGACCACAUAGGUUCAAUUCUACCUGGUAGUGAGAUGUGACACUAAACUCUUUUAAUGUCACCAUCGGAACUCUUCUCAAUGGACCAAAAUAUUUUUGGCUCUCCCAACUGAGUGUAAUUAACUAUUUUAAUUACUCUCAUGAGUCCCACAAUCCACGAGUGACACCUAGCAGUAUAUCGCGGCAAUCCAAGUAGAAUUAAUAAUAGACAAAACCUCUAGGUGUAGUUACCGUGUGAUAAAAUCCUUCUACCAUUUGUCCCGAUAGAGCCGAGGUUAUGGAUUACUCGUCAAACCCCAUUACUCAAUCAUAUGUCUAAUCUGAUUAACAACUAAUAUGGAAACUCCUUUCCAUAAAAUCAUACUGCCUUGGCCAAAGACUUGUAAAACAGAUAGCAUAGGACAAUUACCUCUCUAUCGAGGGUGAUAGAUUCCAUCUUGACACAUACCUACCUCCAUGUAUGACACACUGGAGCCAACAUGUGUUGACUUAACCCAUGAUUAGGGUAUAAGUAUUUACACAGUCAAACUACAAUAACCCACACGCAAGAUAACCGUGGUGCCUCAGGUCAAAGGAUCACUCACACUACUACAGUAUGGAACAAUUCACUGACAAGUGAGUAGGCAUCCAUGUGAUUGUUUAUACUUUGUCACGCUCAGUGAAAUUGUUCUCCAACAUUCACCUGUAUGCUUACUCUAGUGUCACCACACUAAUGACUUGAGACUCGUCAUCCCAUAAGGAAGUAUAGCAUACAUUGAUCUAUCCGGAUUUACUACCGCCCUCGUAAUAAUCCUAUGAUCAGGAGCAUUUAAGAAUUAAUUAUAGAAGAAUAUAUGUCUCAAAUUUCUAACUUCUUAGAAAGUUAAUUCUUCUACUAUUAAUUCUAUGGACGAUUCAUAAAUAUGCAUUUGGCAAUAAUAUGAAUGAAGAAUGCCAGAUUUAAUCAUAAAAAAAAAGUACACUGAUAUUAACCCUUUAAGUUAUGACAGGAUUGGCUUAUAGGGCAUAUAACUAACAGACCCGUAGGAUAACUUAAGGCUUAUUGGCAUGUGAGAGCGCGGAGUUGUUGGGAUUAAGUACCAGUGUUUGAGUCGAGAUUUAAUAAUCUCGAGGUAUAUGGUUAUGUUAUUCCCCUGUGUUUUGUGCUAUGGGAGUUUGAUUACUUCUCUACUUUGUGUAUGUAUUACGAUUAAAGUUGUCCAAAAUAUCCGGUAUACCAUACCCGACCCGGACCCUAUCCGAACCCUAUCCGGACCCGAACCGGACCCGAUAAAAAAUGGAUAGUGUACGGGUAAAAAAAAAUACCCAUUAAAAUUUCGGGUAUGGGUCCGGAUAUUUUAUACCCAUACCCGAUUUGGACCCGACCCGAACCCAACUUUUAAAUGGGUAGGGUCCGGAAUAGUUUUUAUAUCCGAACCCGGACCCGGAUCCGGACCUGAUGAAAUAUCUGGUAGUAAAUAAAAAAAUUUUGAACUUUUAAAGUUAAGGGAUCAAUUUUAAUAGGACUUAUAGACGAGGGAUCUCUAAGUAUUUUUAAGUAUUUUCAUCCUAGGGAAACACUGAAACCCUAGCCGCUCUUUUACUACUUUUUUUUUUUCUAAUUUUUUUACUCUUUGUUUUUAACUUUUUAUUUUUUUUGUUUCAUUUCCGCCUAAGAGUUUUUUAUGAAACAAUAUUUCCAUCAUCGUCAUCAUUAGCGAUAUUAAUUCUUUACAGGUGUGGUACAAGUGAGUUUUUUUUUUCAAAUUCCUUCUCCAAUUAUAGUCGACAAUCUAGUUUUUUUUAAUGAAUAUUCUAUUUAGCAAAUUUUCUGAUUCAUCUUUUUUUUUUCCCCUUUUUUUUUGAAUGUUAGUAUAUAAUAUUAGUAAUUACUACAACUUAUAUUCUCUUUAUCUGUAAUAUGGUAUCAUAAUUUUUUUUAUUUUUGUAUAUUUAUAUAUAAAAUUAUUUUGAAUUUUAGACUUUUAAUUAGUAAAUACAAUGGCCGAAACAAAUUUUGCCCAAACAAUUUAAUAGAGUCUAUAAAAAAUAAAUAUACAGGUAUCCGUACUUGACCCGUAUCCAGUUUUGAACGGGUAAUAUACGGAUAGUCACUAUCCAGGCCUGCUCAAAUAGACCCGAUGGGUAUAUUAGUAACUUAAGUACCCAGAUCCGGACCCGACCCGAAGUUAAAUGGGUAGGGUAUUUUUUUUUUUCUAACCAUUUCUUUUUAGGGUACGGGUACAGUAUAUCAACUACCCAGACCCGACCCGGUCCACGGACACCUUUAAUUACGAUGUGGGCACAGACUUGUGCUUCUACUGGAAGUGGUGGCGGUUUACCAGAUAGUUAUCAAGUGGCAGGGUGAGAUUACCCGAGCAUGGCCAUUUGUUGGCAGGUGGUGGCCUUAAUAGGCCAGGUGACGGCACUUUUUGGAUCUAUGCAGUCGAUUCGACUGCUAUUGGCUAGGCCCCACUUCUUAUGUAGAGUUCGAGAGCUAAUGCAAGCGUCUCUAUGGAGACAUCACCUAGAGCGGCUACGAUCGCGACUACUGUGGGGGCUGCUAGAGUGUAACCCAAGAUUUUGGUAGCAACCAUUUGGGCGACUGUAACUUUAGUGUUGCUUUCUCAGAUUUUAUGGGCAUGGUUGUGAUGCCUACCCCUCUUUUUUUUUGCUGAUGGAAUCGUCGAUGCAAGUCUUUCGACCCUCAGCUAGUUCCUAUGUCAACUAAUGUGAACUUGAACUGAGUGGACACAGUUUUGGUGUCCGGUCUUUGUUGUUGCAUACAUCGUAUACGGAUAUCCUAACAUCUAAAUUGAUGUGUUAUGGGAUCUUGGUAGGCUUUCAUCUUGUCGCGAGAUACUCCAGGGUGUUGUUGAAGGUCUCGGAGCUUUGGGUAUUAGUUGGGUGUUUUUCAAAAAUCAGGUAAAGAAAUUGUUUACUUAGGCUUUAGUUUGUGCAGUUCGCGGCCUAAUGUCGCAAGCAACUAUUGGAUGUGGAGAGCUAAAGAACUCCUAGUGAGUUUGCUCAAGGUUGAUCUUGUUUCGAAAGUCGACUUGCAAAGUUGAUGUUUCGAUAGUUUUGGUGGUGAACUUUUGGUUCAGUUAAGAAGUACCAAUUGGCUUGAUAUUUGGUUGCUACUUCUCCAACUUGUUGUUGGCGAUGGAUCUGCGAGUAAUUCGCCUUUCUUUUGACAAGUACGUUGGCUGUAGACAACGUAGUGUCAAAAGUCGGGACGAAGUACCCUAUCCCUCUUGGGAGUAUCAGGAUUGGGUAAAUGUAUUUCUUUUUCUGCGAGACAAUCUCUAUAGGUCGUCUUGUAGAAAGGCUUGAGUCAUGGUCAUCUUCAACCGGUGGUAAGACUUGGUAAUUCCUAUGCAGUACUUGUGUGAAUGAUCUUUGAGCACUGCACAUGGUUGUUGUUAUGUUGUGGGCUUGGUCACCUACUAGCUCUGUAGUGGUGCCUUGCACAACAUAAGGGUUUGUUUUGCAUGGUAAUCUUUGUCAUUUUGCCGAGAGGUUUCGAAUCACAGUUGAUGAGUGGCUUGUGUUUGGUAGUUGGCUCUGAAAUCGCUGUAUGUGAUAGAGUACAAGAUUUACGAUUGAACUUAUCAUGCAACCAUGGAGUGGAAUGCUUGUUCGGUCACUUAGUAACAGGUUUGCCUAGGUCUCACUAUGACUGGUGUUUGGUGUUGCUGGAAACAUCGAUCACUGGGGUUCCUUUAGGGACAGUAGCGACAGGGUCUCGUGGAGACAGGUGUUGAGCAUCACUAGUGGUUAUGAUCGCAUAUUGCGAUUAGAAACCCUGUUCACCAAGUGAUGGACUUGCAAGGGGUUUAGGUUAGAUUGAUUGAGAUAUUGAGCGGACGAAAUCGUCGAGCUCAAUUGGUAGUGGCAGCCUUGGAACUUUUGGCCCAGGUGGAAGGUGAGAGACCUAGGGGUGUCGAAUGCCAUAGGUGGGUUUCCGAUGCUAAGAGUUUGACUUCGGCUGUUGUAUUUUUGACUGGUAGGAGACUGUGGCCUCCGAGUUGAGUGAUGUUAACGCAAGUUUAAGGCAACGAUGCGGAUUCACUCGUGGUGAGCUGGUUGACGUAAUUGGCUAGUCGGAGUGUGUCGUUCCGGCCUAUGGAAACAUACUCCAGACUUGUAGUGUUGUUCCGGGACUUUACUGCAUGAACUUUCGACUUUUUGGUUGAUCACUGGUACGCGGACCAAGGUUGGGUUGACCUAGAGUUUCUGGUUGGUGAAUUUUUAUCUUAGAUUUGGUAGAUGUGGGAUCGGAUAGCCCAGGUCGCGGUACUAUUUUCAUCUACAGGAUAGUGGAUGGUGGGAUCCCGGUAGGUUUUGGUCCAUAUAUAGUUUUUGGGUUGGUACUUUUUCUCUCCUCUCGUCUGGGUGGAACUGCUUUUUCAUCAUCCCUUACUUCGGACUUUAAUCACUCUAGGUUCAUAAGCAAGGUGAUUGAUCAAUACUCAAAGGUGAAACUUCAACAGUGGACUGAUAUCCGAAUUUGAUUACGGUAGGUGCGUAGUCAAGUUUCGGGAACGAAACUUUUAUAAGGAUGGGAUGAUGUGAGGGCUGAAAUUUUCAUGAUGUAAAUUGAUGCAUUUCAGUGGUGUUUUAUAGGUAUUUUAAUUUUAAAAUUAUCUAUUUAUUUUCGGGAGAAAACAAUCUUUUAUUAAAGGAGUAUGGCGACUGUUACUAUUCAUUUAAGUGAAUAGUAACCUGUGUUUUCUUUUGAGGCAUCGUGUUGGGGAUGGCUUCGGGCAUGAAUUAGACUCUGUUUUCGACGAUCCAAUAGGUUGUUUUCGAUGGUCUGACUAUGCCGAAGAUGAUGGCACUGCCUGAUUUAAUGUUUGAUGCACGAAUUUUGAGAAAAUCAGAGUUUAUUGUAGAUUGGCCUUUGAUUACUUAAUGUUCUUGCUUUUUAGAAGUGUCCGAUGUUUCGUUUCGCAUGCAAUUCCAUGAUUCGAUGCCACUGGGCAUAUUACACUCACUGGUGAAUUUUCGAAACAAAAUUCAAUGAUUGGGGGUGGUAAAUUGCUAUUUUUUUUGCAAAGCGUCAAAAUUGAGCACUUUGCGAAGAGGUUAUCAUUUCAUGUGAAAAAUUUUAAAUUUUGGUAAGUGGAAGGUUCCACAUGAAAGUAGACCUAGAGAAGAGUUUUUGUCUCAAUUUUUGCAAAAUUUGAGUUUAUCUGUGCGAAAUGGCAUUAAGAUGAAGUCGUAGGAGAGUUUUGUGAUCGUGAAACUUUUCGGAUUGGAACGCGGCAUCUCGGGUAUCUUUGUGCACAAGAUGGUUUGGAAAAGGACUUAACGAAAUAUUUUUUAUGCUGUUGAGGGCUGGGUGCACAAUUCUAAGGUGUUAGGAGGGCUUUUGUGCAAAAUUUCUUUUCUUUCUUUUGGUAUGUAUGUAUUUGUGUAUAUUACAUAUAUAUAUAUAUAUAUAUACACAAGUAUUGUGGGGGGGAGGGGAUGAAACCCCAACGUUAGCUUCUCCUAGCUGCCGCCCCACCUCUCACGGUUGCUGCUGGUAAGCCGCCCACCGUCGGUGUCCUUUUCGACCAGCAGAGGAGGUUUUCUCCCUCUCCCUUCUAUUGGUGAGCCUGAGCAUGAGGGAGACCCAAGCUCCCACUCUUCGGCCUCCCUUCAUGACCUUCGAGCUCAGGCAACUUCCCUUGGCGCUUUCCUGCCCCGCCGGAGCCGCCACUGCUGUGGUUUUCUCCUUCCAGGCAAUUAGGCAGAAGGUGGCCCAACCUCUCCAAGCCGCAGCCACAGCCACCGUCCACCCUCGGCACCGCCUCCUCCGACCUAUGGUGACUCGCUAUCGUCGCCUCAUGGCUUUCCCGGUUGUUGCCGCCGUCGCUGAGCUACCCGAGCCCGAGCCCUAGUCGUGCGGUCUAUGCCUUCCUGAGGCGCCGCCGCCGCUUACCGCCAUCGGUCGAUGGGAGCACUAAACUCCCCUUCCCCUCCACGGCCGACCCUGGCCCACGUGUAGGCCAGAAGGCCGCCGGCGGCCGGCCGGAAUCCCCCUGUGCCCCUGCUUGGCAGCCUAGGGCAUCAAAUUGCGCACCUCGCAUUCUUCGACGAUUCGACGCUCCCCGAACCCUUCGAAAGUGAGCAAAGUGAUCCUCGUCACUCGCUGAACGUGUUGUUGAUCUCGGUUUCUACCGACGACCCCCCGUCGCAGAGUUUUGGCUCCCUCACUUCCAGAGACCUUUGUGUAUUGAUCUUGGUGAAGCUCUACAGUGCUCCUCGACUGUCGUACGCGCUCCGGACAGCGAGCAUGAUUUCCGGCACAUCAAGAACUAUCAGCCUGUGCCCUCGCUUCGUCCCAGAGGUGCGUGGAUAUCGGUAUUGGCCCUAAACGUCACAUUAUUUUAUAUAAUGCUGCUUUUUAUUGGUCUUGAUGGGCAAUUUUGCAUUUAGGCUUUGUGGGCUGCCUCGGGCAGCGUGUGGUCACUAUUUGUGGCCCACUGGGUUUAUCAUCUAGUUUGUGAAGCAUCUGUGCGAUCAAAAAUGGGGUUUUGACGUAUUUUUUGGCAUAAUCGCUCGUAGAACGCUGUUUCGUGUCACGAUGGGUUUCCGGCUGCAUGGUUGCCCCAAAAAAAAAAUCAUCGCCUAGCCCCGUUGGUUGGCUGGGACCUCGCUAGUGUGAAGCACAGACCAGUUAUGCACCCUAGUGGGUUCUGAAGCCGAAAACGGCAAUUUUUGGGAACCCGGUACAGUUGAUUUGGAGGAUUUCGCACCCGGAUCGCACAACUUAGCGUGCGGCUGUCCCGACGCCCAAAAGUGAAUGUUUUGGGAUAGUGUGUGUCACACCCCGUGACCGCCAAUUCGGUUGAACCGACACGUACACAGAUGCCGAACGGACAGAGCCUCCCCUGUCUGCCCAAGAAUCCACAACCACAAAACAUGUAUAAAGAAUUGCCUAGAAAAAUUUCGAUAUACAUGGCUUGCACGAGGGCAAGCAACAAGAGCAAGUGAAAGUAAAGCUAACUAUUACAUUCAUACAUUGUAUCUUGAUUACAUUAAACAAAAUACAAGUCUUUCAUAAUCCAUUGCAUCUAUUUUCAUUUCAUACAUGCUUCAUUACAUAUGUUUCCAAAUACAUAACUUGUCCAUUACAUAUCCCUUUUCAUCAAGUACAAAAGAUGAAAUACAAAAUGGUACAACUAUACUCGAAGGAAGUCUACUACCUAGGGCGCGAUGCCCUUGCCGCGAUACUCGAUCGCCCCGCUCGCACUAGGAUCUGCAAGGUUAGUAGGAUGAGAACUACAAAAUAGUUCUGAGUGGGUUCGGCCGCGGAUCCCACCGACUAACCCACUAGGUCUAAUCAGGCAUAAGUAGGAAAAAGGAGUAGAUAAGCCAACAAAACUAAUGCAACUACUAUGCCUGGAUAAAACUGAAACAAUCAAUAUGAUGUUCUUGAUGCAUGCACUUCUCUUUUACCUUUACCUUUACCCAAUCCUUUUGGUUAACCUUUUGGUUAAACCAAACUCACCAAACCAAAUCCCUUUUGUCGGGGAGAAUUCCGCUACAACCCGACAGGACCGCCUGCUGGGAAGAAUUCCGCUACCACUCAGUUGAUGACAACUCUGGAGCUCACCGCUUGAGGUGGAGCGACCACCCUCAAGCAUAUCAGACUAUCUGUGAGUAUGAUCCAAUUCUCAACUUUGAGGAUACCAUGUCAAUAUUGUCGCAAUAUUCAUAAGGUUUUCUUUGUCUAGCAAUCCAUGUUUCUAGGUGCUAAUCAAUCCAUCUAGUCACAAUGUCACCUUGUUUACUAUAUUGUCAUAGUCUACUACUUAGUUCAUACAUUCAUAAGGUUUCAAUAUAUCCAAGAUUCUAGUCACAAUUCAUAUACCACUUGAUACAAGCAUUUCCACAUGUUUCCUAUAACAUGACAUUAACCCUAUAAUGCAUGAAUGCUAUACAUAUACACAUAUGCUCAAAACAAGGUGACAUAGACAUAAUGCGAAAUUCGAUAAUUACGGAUAGCACCAUCUAUCACGUAGGGAUGUCGAGAUGCGAGAAUCCAAGUCCCGUGAUUAUUAGACGCCUAAAUCCCUCGACCCACGGCUAACGGAAGCAAAAUGAGGUUUUUCCUCAAUAUAAUGCUGUAGACUCGUCGGAACUUCAAUCCAAGUCUCCUAACGUAUCAAAUUAACCUUUAAUUAGGAAUACAAGAGAUCAAUUUCAUAAUAGAUCUCAAUUCCUACAAAAUCCUAUUUCCAACCCUAGGGUUUACACAUACUACCUAUACUUCAAAUUUUUUAGGAUUUUAUGGAGUAAUCCAAACUCUCAAUCCUAAGAACCUCAAAAACAAGCAAAUUAUGGUAUUUACAUUAAACCCGUAACAAAUAGGAGCAAGAGAACUUACCUAAGCCACCUUGCUCCCCAAAGCCCUUCUUGUUCUUGAGCCUCUUUACCACCAAGACCACCAAUUCCACCUUCGAUUCUCGUCCCAAGCCUCCUUGAUGGAGAGAUUCUAGAGAGAGAAGGAGAGGGAGAUGAGAAGAAGAAGGAGAAAAUGUAUUCUCUUGCAUGAGAAUAACAGGUGUAGGGUUGGAGUUAUUUAUAAACCCCAACAAUUGCAGCUAAGUCCCCCAACAAUUCUCACUUACAACCAUGAAAAAUUCAGUCCUGCGCAGGGCUGAGUACCAGUACUCAGGUUGGAGUACCGGUAUGCGGGCUCCCAGUAUCGGUACUCAGCUACGCAGUACCGGUACCCUCCAAGGCCGCAACCAAACCCGAGAGCUAGCAUUCGGGGUUUAAUACGGAGUACCGGUACGCAACACCCCAUACUGGUACACGACAAGUCCAAUACCGGUACUCACUACGUGGUACCGGUAUCCAACCAUGUGACCUUCCAAACCUGAGAGCUCACUUUUCGGGCAAUUAACUAGGUACCGGUACUCAACCUCCGGUAUCGGUAUGCAGCUUGCCAAGGUCCCGAACUCGAGAGUUGUUCAUUUUGCAUUUUUAUUAUUGGGUACCGGUACCCCAUCUCCUGGUACCGGUACUCAAUUCAGUUUCUGCAAUUCCAGCAGAUUCAAUGCCUUAGAGUCCAUUUUCGCGCUCGGUUUGCACCGAAAACACCCAAACACUCUCGAAGCCACUUCUAACCAUCCCAACGCCUUCAAGGCAACUCGGGGACUUCAGUUAUCACCUUCAUACCUUUGAUCAAAUUCGAUCAAAGUUAGCAUUACGAUUCGGUAUAUUACAGUGUGGACGACCAAAUUAAUUUCGGAGUGUUUUGGAGCAGUUGGGGGCUUAACGGAACACUGAAACGCAAAAAUCGAGCAAUUUAGGGGGCAAUUUUGUAUCACGCUGGUUGCUGCUGUUUGCAGCGUUGUGGCCUUAUUUGCUGGUAUUGGAGUGAGGUGUGACACUUUUGGUCGUAGCAAGAUGGCUGCGGGUGGUUCUUGUGCCGAAACGAGUAUUCCGAGAGCCAAGCCGGUGAUUUUCGGAAUCCCGGCUUUCCGUUUUGAUGCACUAUAUGUGCGACCGUCUCAAUGGCAUUAAAUUAAUGUAUUGGGACAGCGAAUAAAGUAGGCUUUGUCUAGGACUUGUUUUGGAAUACCCCAUCUCCUGGUACCGAUACUCAAUGAAAUUUCUGCAAUUCCAGCAGAUUCAAUGCUUUAGAGUCCUUUUCACGCCCGAUUUGCGCCAAAAACACUCAAACACUCUCAAAGCUCACUUCUAACCAUCCCAACGCCUUCAAGGCAACUUGGGGCCUUCACUUAUCACCCUCAUAUCUCACUUUGAUCAAUUCGAUCAAAGUUUGCAUUACGAUUCGGAGAUUCGGUAUAUUACAAUCUUUCUCUCUUAGAAAUAGUUUCGUCCGCGAAAUGUAAACUCAUACCUUAGCUCAUCUGAUCAAAUAGAUGAAGAUAGGAUUCACGCAUCACCUCCUCGAGUUCCCAAGUGGCUUCGCACUUGGCGUGGUUGCUUCAUUGCACUUUUACAUAUGGAAUUGUGCAAUUCCGCAAUUUGCUCGCCCUACGAGCCAAAAUGCACACCGGGUAUUCUUCAUAAAUCAUAUCCUCCUGUAACUUCACCGUUUCAUACUCAAGAACGUGUGAGGAGUUAUGCACGUACUUGCGGAGGAUAGAGAUAUAGAACACAUUGUGCACUCCCUCAAACUUCAGCGGUAGAGCCAAUCUAUAAGCCACCGCACCCACACGUUCCAAAAUCUCAUAGGGUCAAAUUUAUCGAGGACUAAACUUUCCCCGAACAUCGAAUCGCUUCACACCCCGCAUGGGUGACACCUUCAAGAAGACGCGGCCCCCCACCGCGAACUCAAGACUUCGCCGGCACACAUUAGCAUAACUUUGUUGUUGUGAUUGUGCCGUUAGAAGCUUUUGGCGGGCAAGGCGAACCUUCCCCUCCGCCUCCUGCAACACAUCCGGACCAAGGGAGACUCUUUCACCCACCUCGCUCUAAUGGAUAGGGGAUCAACACUUUCUUCCAUAGAGAGCUUCAAAUGGCGCCAUUGCUAUGCUUUCUUGGUAGCUAUUGUUGUAAGCAAAUUCGGCGAUCGACAAAUAAUCAUGCCAACCACCCUUAUAAUCAAGUACACAUGCUCGUAGCAUAUCCUCAAGAAUCUGAAUCGUCCUCUCCGACUGACCAUCACUUUGAGGAUGAAAAGCAGUGCUAAAGUUGAGCCGUGUGCCAAGAGCAUCUUGUAGACUUUUCCAAAAGUGAGAUAUGAACCGAGGGUCUCCAUUCGAAACAAUAGAUGUCGGAACUCCAUGCAACCUCACAAUCUCAUCCAAAUAUACUUGUGCUAAGUUGUCCCCUGACCAAGUGGUGUGGAUAGACAAGAAAUGUGCCAAUUUCGUCAAGCGAUCCACUACUACCCAGAUAGCAUCGUGACCAGCCUGUGAUCGAGGUAAUCCUACCACGAAGUCCAUAGCUACAUCCUCCUAUUUUCAAACGGGAAUAGAUAAACUUUGAAGCUUUCCCGUCGAAAAUCGGCGCUCCGCCUUGACUUGUUGACAUAUCAAACAUUGCGCCACUAAUUGUCUAAUGUCUCUUUUCAUCCUCGGCCACCAAUAAUGCACUUUUAGGUCUUUGUACAUCGUAGUGCUGCCCAGAUGCACACUGUAGGGGGACUUAUGAGCUUCUUGCAGGAUAACCUUUCGGACAUAUACGUCACUAGGCACACACUAACGGUUUCGAAACUGAAGUGUGCUGUCGGAUCCCACACUAAAGUCACCGACGUGCCCACUCUUAAUGUCUCGCCGCACCUUUUGGAGAUACGGAUCCAAAGAUUGUCGAUCUUUAAUUUUCUACAACAAGGUCGGUUGAACAGCGAGAGCGGCAAGUAUAACCGGGACCUCCGGAGCUACAACUUCAAGAUCAAACCGCCAUAUUUCCUUCCACAAUGACGGUUGAUGUGUAAUGGCCAUAGCAAGAUUUUCCACCAACUUCCUACUAAGUGCAUCCGCUACUACAUUGGCCUUCCCCGGGUGGUAUAGAAUAGUGACAUCAUAGUCCUUCAAUAAUUUCAACCACCGACGCUGCCGCAUAUUCAACUCUUUUUGGGUGAACAAAUACUUGAGGCUUUUAUGAUCGGUAUACACCUCAUAGCGCUUGCUAUACAAAUAGUGCCUCCAUAGCUUCAACGCAAAGAUCACCGCAGCAAGUUCCAGGUCAUAAAUAGGGUAGUUCUUCUCGUAGCUCUUCAAUUGGCGGAAAGCAUAAGCGAUAACUCGACUACACUGCAUUAGAACACACCCAAGACCUUGAUAGGAAGCAUCACUAUACACAACAUAACUCUCCCCAGAAACUGGUAGGGCGAGUAUAGGAGUUGAAGUCAAUCUUUCUUUGAGCUCCCGAAAGCUUCGGUUACAUUCAUCACUCCACACAUACUUCAUCCCCUUAUGCGUCAGGCACGUUAGCGGAGUAGUAAUUUUAGCAAACCCCUCCACGAACCCCCGGUAGUAACCCGCAAGCCAAGAAAACUGCGGAUCUCUGCAACACUUGUCGAACAAGGCCAAUCUUUAAUCGCCUCAACUUUUCUCGGGUCGAUUGCUACACCACCCUCGGAUAUCACUUGGCCUAAGAAGGCGACCUCCCGAAGCCAAAAGUCGCACUUCUUCAAUUUUGCAUAGAGCUUAUUUUCUCGAAGAGUCUGCAACACAGUUUUCAAAUGCUCCUCGUGCUCCUCAUCACUUCGAGAAAAGAUGAAUAUGUCAUCAAUGAAUACCACGACAUAUCGAUCCAACAAUGGUUUGAAAACAUGGUUCAUUAAAUCCAUAAAUGCUGCAGGGGCAUUAGUAAGCCCAAACGGUAUAACCGUGAAUUCAUAGUGUCCAUAACGCGUUCGAAAUACUGUUUUGUGCACAUCCUCUGGCUUGAUCUUCAAUUGGUGGUAUCCCGACUGGAGAUAGAUCUUUGAAUAUACCCGAGACCUUUGCAACUAAUCGAACAAAUCAUCAAUUCGAGGCAACGGGUAUUUAUUCUUGAUUGUCACCUUAUUCAACUCGCGAUAAUCCACGCACAGCCGGAGUAUUCCAUCCUUCUUCUUUACAAACAGCACCGAAGCUCCCCAAGGUGACACACUCAGCUUUACAUAGCCCUUGUCGAGGAGAUCUUGCAAUUGAGCUUUCAAUUCUUUUAAUUCAGCUGGUGCCAUUCUAUAUGGAGCCUUCGAAAUUGGCACAGUCCCGGGAACCAAGUCAAUGACGAAUUUAAUUUUUCGGUCCGGUGGCAAUCCCGACAACUCUGCAGGAAAUACAUCUAGAAACUUUCGGACUAUAGGAAUAUCUCCAAGUACCAGAAUCUCUUUUCGAGUCUCCACCACCGUCGCCAAAUAAGCCACACAACCUCUAUUAAUUAGCUUCCUCGCUCGCGACGUUGACACGAUCAUAGCAAAAAGCGAACUCUUGCAACCAUGAUAAACAUACUCUUCUUGCCCGGGCUCAUGAAAAGUCACUAUCUUGCUCUCACAAUCAAUAGUAGCAUAAUAUUCGAGAGCCAAUCCAUCCCAAGAUCAAAUCAAAGCCUUUCAGCCGGUUCAACACAAGCAAAUCCGCUAGUAUAAUCUAAUCGCCUACUUGCACUGGACACGCCACACAUACGUCCUUGACACUAAACGUGUGCUCAGGAGCGUCUACCCACCAAAGAUCCUCGCUAACAGUACUUUCGAUACCAUGUGUACUAGCGAACAACUGACUGAUAAAUGAAUGUGAUGCACCUGUGUCAAACAAUGCUCUAGAUCUGAUUCCUUUAAUUAACACAAUACCUGCCACGUCAUCGUCGACCACGGCAGGCUCCUCCACCUGAGCAGCAAAGAUACGACCACUUGGCGCUGAUCGGAAUCCCUCGGACUGACGCGGCACCAUAGCUCGUCCAGCAGAUAUUGCGGGUGAAGGCCCCAUAAACUGUCUCAGAGCUGAUUGAACUGAUGCAGCUGACGGGGCAGGCGAUGCUCCACUCGAGCAUUCCCGACUCAGGUGUCCAGCCUGGCCACAUCUAUAACACCUCCCUUCAUACUGUGGGCUGCUCGUUGGUCGAUGAUCUCAUCUGCAAAUAACAUAUCGGAAGGGUCCCCGACUCGACUGCAAUCCUGGAUGUCGAGAGGGUCGUUCAAAACUCGACUAACCCCCGGUACCACUUGCAGCCCGCUUCUUGCCUUUAUCUUUGUCCUUCUCAAAUGAUUCGCGUUCAUCACGCGCAAUCGCAUUUCCUCGCUCCACCCAAAGAGCGCGAUCCAAAACUUCCUCAAAAGUCUUGAACUUAAAAGCAUGCACCACCUUGAAAAUAUCGGGCCGUAACCCUCGCUCAAAACAUUUCGCCCGAUCCUAAUCAUUGUGAACCAUGGUCGGGACACAAUUCACCAAAUGUGAGAACUCCCGUUCGUACUCCCGUACAGAACCACUACCUUGCCUCAACUUACGAAAGUCCUCUUUUAUCUUUCUUUUGUCACUAUUGGGGAAGUACUCCAUGAAUAGCAGCCCCCGAAACUCCUCCCAAGUGAUUGGAGGAAGAUCCGGAGAUCAGUUCUUCUUCACUCUCCUCCACCAAUCCUAGGCCAACUUCUCGAAACAAUGCACGAUCAAGUGGACCUUGUCCCUCUCCAAGGUAUAGAUGUCCUCGAAUAACGCCUCCAUCGAGGUAAGCUACGCCUCCAUCAUCCAAGGAUCUGCCACCUCUCCAUCAAAAGUAGGAAGGUUGAACCGCUUAAAAGCCGUCAGAGCUGCAAGCGAUCGCUCCUACUCGGCCUCUAUUGAAUUUGGAACUGAAGAACUAGAAGCCGUCGGGGAGUAGUCGCUGCAGUCGCCACAUUAGGAGCCGAUGACGAUGGCACAGGCGGAUCCCGACUCGCGGGUGCAGCUGCCGUCGCCACCUGCCGGUCACCAAGUUUUUAACCUCCCAAUCUGCUCAUCCUGUCGCUGUAUCGCUGCCGCAAGUGCAGCCACCUGAGCACGCAACUCACGAACCUCGUCAGACCCAGAUUUCUCGGGCACGUCAGAAGGCAAUGCCGGAGUGGAUCUCGUAGGGCGUUGAAUUGGUGCCAUCAUCUCCUGAAACGUAGCACCCAAGUUAGUACUCAACUCGAGUCAUCUACACACCGCAACAAUAUACCCAACAAAACCAAAUCAGGCGAAAGCAAUCAAGUAUACUUGUCCUCAUCUCUAGGCAUUAUGUUGUCGGCCGCCAACAUAACCCCCGAAGUUGAGAGCAAAUAACAACUUGGAUUAGUCCCUAUUUACCAUUAGAGUCAUACUACCAACUACCCAAUCCAUUUAGCUUUCGCUAUAAUUCAAUUCUGCGUCACUUAGGUUCCUAAGUCCUAAAGGUUUCCAAUCAUAAGGUCCCUAGGUCCAUACUAUACUUUCACUUUUCAUGCUCAGAUACCAUUCUAUCUGUCACGCCUCGCGACCGCUAAUUCGAUCGGACCGGCACGUACACAGACGCCGAACGGACAGAGCAUCCCCUGUCUGCCCACGAAUCCACAACCACAAAACAUGUAUAAAGAAUUGCCUAGAAAAAUUUCGAUAUACAUGGCUUGCACGAGGGCAAGCAACAAAAGCAAGUAAAAGUAAAGCUAACUAUUACAUCCAUACAUUGUAUCUUGAUUACAUUAAACAAAAUACAAGUCUUUCAUAAUCCAUUAUAUCUAUUUUCAUUUCAUACAUGCUUCAUUACAUAUGUUUCCAAAUACAUAACUUGUCCAUUACAUAUCCCUUUUCAUCAAGUACAAAAGAUGAAAUACAAAAAGGUACAACUAUACUCGAAGGUAGUCCACUACCUAUGGCGUGAUGCCCUUACCGCAAUAUUCGACCGCCCCGCUCGCACUAUGAUCUGCAAGGUUAGUAAGGUGAGAACUGCAAAUAGUUUCCAGUGGGUUCGGCCGCCGACCCCGCCGACUCACCCACUAGGUCUAAUCAGGCAUAAAUAGGAAAAAUGAGUAGAUAAGCAAACAAAACUAAUACGGCUACUAUGCUUGGAUAAAACUGAAACAAUCAAUAUGAUGUUCAUGAUGCAUGCACUUCUCUUUUACCUUUACCUUUACCCAAUCCUUUUGGUUAACCUUUUGGUUAAACCCAACUCACCAAACCAAAUCCCUUUUGUUGGGGAGAAUUCCGUUACAACUCGACGGGACCAUCUGCUGGAGAGAAUUCCGCUACCGCUCAGUUGAUGACAACUCCGGAGCUCACCGCUUGAGGUGGAGCGACCACCCUUAAGCAUAUCAGACUAUCUAUGAGUAUGAUCCAAUCAUCAACUUCGAGGAUACCAUGUCUGUCACACCACAGGACCGAUACCAAUUUGGGCCGGCCUGAGCACGUCAAACAGACGCCGAACGGACAGAGUUUUCCCUGUCCGCCCAAGGCUCCUCACAUGUACAUCUUCAAACAAGAAGUGCACUAGUGGAAACAUACAAAUACGGCUUACACGAGGGUAAGCAAUAGCCACGAGUGAAAAAAAAGAAACUAAACAUUCACUUGUACUAUGAUUCAUUUUAGAUCAUAUACAUUAAGGCCAACUUGUACAAUUUCAAUUCCUUACAUUCAUUACAUCGUUUCGUCAUUUCUUUCUUACAUCACAUUUACCUCAAAAGAGAGCUUUACAUUCUUUCUUUACAUCACUAAUCAUCAAGUACAAAAGAUGAUAAAAGGGUAUGUUACUACAAAAUGUAAACCCAACUCUGGUGGCCACUGUCUAAGGCGCGAUACCUUUACCUCGAUCGCUCGCCGGCUCGCUCGGUCCCGGCUCUGUGGAAUAGUGGGGUGAGAACUACAACAAAGUUUCCAGUGGGUUCGGCCUCAAUCUCACCGACUUUCCCACUAGGACUAACUCAGCCAUAAUAGAAAGGAAAAGCUGUAAAUAGUAACCAAUCUAUAACAUGAUACUAAUAUGCCUGAACAAUAAGCAGGAAGUAUACUCAACAUUAACAUAUGCAGAUUCUGCAAGUUUUUUUGUUCUUUACACUUUACACUUUGUCUUUAUUCUUUGCUCUUUGCUCUUUGUUCUUUAAUCUUAAGGCUAACCCGGAGGUUUCGCCACAUUAACUUGCUUCACAUUAAGUCCAUCAUCGCGGGCCCUCAGCUUCCUCCCGCUAAGACCGUCCUUCAGGUUUACUCCAAUCCGUGAUGCAAAAACUCCGAAGCGCAUCGCCCGAGGGGGAGCGACCGCCCUCGAGCACGGAACUCAUAGCAAGUAUAAUCGAAUCCUUAACUCAAAGGAUUGUAUGUUCAAUCUUGACUUUAUACUAACUCUAGUGUUGUUUACAUCACUUUAUGUUGCUACUCUAGCAAUCAUGGUUCUUUACCUUUCUUUACUUUUGCUAACUUUAGCAUUUUUGUUCUUUACACCCACUUUGUUCUCACUUUAGUCAUUAUCAUUAUUCUUUACAUCACAUUGACUCUUUGCCUCACACUACCUCUAGUGUCACUUUACUUUACAUUAUCAAAUGCCACUCGAUCUAUGUCUCAUUGUGUCACUCUGUUCUUUCGCCUCACUUUGGUGCUCUUUGGUAUUCACAUUUUCUCUCAUGCAUAUAUAUAUAGGGUUUUGACAUUCAUAAGGUUCUCAACCAUCACAUUAUACAAGUUGUACUCACAAUCAUGGAACAUCACAUUUUUAUCAUUACUUUACCCUAGGUGCAUGCAACAAUGUAUAUACAUAUGUUCAAUUGAAUGACACAUUAGGCAUAGAGGGAAGUUCAACGAGUUUGAAAAGCACCACCCACCUCAUAGGCUUUCAAGGGUGCUCCGAUGAUUUUCUUAGGAUUUUUAGAUCCUUCGUUUUUUACCUGCGGCAAAACGAAGCCAACUUAGGCCAUUUUGCCCAUAACUUUUUAUGGACUUUUCGUAAUGCUAAUCCGAGUGCACCAACGCGUCGGAAAUACCCCCAAUUAGAUUUCUAGAGGGUCAAUUUCACUUAGAAAAUCCCAAGAGCAAAAGCCCCAAUUUGGGUGCCCUAGCUCUAUAGCAUAUAUCAAACCUAAGGUUUGAUCUCAAGGGGAAGCAAAAGUAGCUUCAUUCUACUCUAAAGAGUCCAUCUAAACCAUUCUUAGCUUAAUCAAAACCCAUUUUAGGGUUUCACCAUGAGAGGUGGUUGAAGCUCACCCCUAAGCUUCAUUACAUACACCAUUUCCAUGGUUUGAUCUCUAAAAGAAGCAAGAAAAAGCUUCAAAUACUCAAUAGGUUCUAUAAAAACCAUUUCUAGGGUCUUUAUCACAAUAGGGAUCAAAGCUUACCUCAAAGCUUUUCCUCCUUGCUUCAAUGAGAAAGAAGAUGGAGUUGCUUCACUCCCUUGGCUUCUUCUUCACCUUCUUCUCCUUUUUCUUCUCUUCUUUUUCCUUCCUUUCCUUGUCUUCUUCUUCUCAUUCUUUGUCCUCUAGAGAGAGAAAGAGAGGAGGGAGUGUGAGAGGGUGAGAAAUGAGAGAAAUUUCCCAUUUACCCCCCCUUACAUAGCUCAAUGGGUUGCCAAAUUGCUAUUAAACCCCUCAACUUUUACUUUAUUACACUGCCUGGACUGGGCAGAUUUUGGGCUCAGGGACCGGUCUCCCUGACUAGGAACCGGUUCCCGAAGGUCCUCCCCACGGGCAGCAGGGCUUUCACACAGAACAACCGGUCUCUCCCAGUGAGACCGGUCUCUCCCCGCAGGGACCGGUUCCCGAGAGCUAAUUUUCUAGGACUUAGCCGAUUUUCGGCCUCGCUCAGUUUUCACAUGUUCGGCGACCGGUCUCUCCCACCAGGGACCGGUCCCCGAGAGCUCAAAAACUGCAGUUUGCAGAUUUUUGAUUCUUUAGCUCUCGAAAACCUCCCAUAACUCACUUUUGAUCAUUUUAACACCUACGGACUUUCCGAAGUGUACCAUCCUCGCACUUUGGUCAAUUUGACUAAAGUUCGAUAUUUAUUUUCCGAAUUUUCGGUAUAUUACAUUCUCCACCCCUUAAAAUAAUUUCGUCCGCGAAAUUAUGCAUACCUUAACUCGUCGACUCAAAUAAGUGCGGAUACUUUCUCUGCAUUGACUCCUCGAGCUCCCAAGUGGCCUCUCGCACAGCAUGGUUGCUCCAUUGGACUUUCACAUAUGGAAUCUUGCGACUUCGCAACUUCCUCACUUCUCUAUCGAGGAUGCACACCGGGUACUCCUCAUAAGACAUAUCCUCACGUAACUCCACGGGCUCAUACUCCAAUACAUGUGUUGAGUUUCGGAUAUAUUUUCGAAGAUUCGACACAUGAAACACAUUAUGAACUCCCGCGAGUCUCGGUGGUAAAGCGAGCUUGUACGCCACCGCACCCCCACGCUCCAAUAUCUCAAAUGGUCCGACGUAUCAGGGGCUUAACUUCCCGCGGACCCCAAAUCGUUUGACUCCUCGCAUCGGCGAUACUCUAAAAAACACACGGUCUCCAACCGCGAACUCUCCAACCGUUGACGGGCAAGGCGAACUUUCUCUUCCGCCUCCUGUACUACAUCCGGGCCAGGAGCCGUUCUCUCACACACGUCGCUCCAAUAGAUAGGAGAACGACACUUACGUCCAUAUAAUGCCUCAAAAGGCGACAUUGCUAUACUUUCUUGGUAGCUAUUAUUGUAGGCGAACUCCGCCAUAGGCAAGAAAUCAUGCCAUCCUCCUUUGUAAUCUAGCACACACGCUCGAAGCAAGUCCUCGAUGAUUUGUAUCGUCCGCUCUGACUGUCCAUCACUCUGAGGAUGAAACGCUGUGCUAAAGUCGAGCCGUGUGCCUAGCGCGUCUUGUAAACUCUUCCAAAAAUGGGAUGUGAACCUGGGGUCUCGGUCCGAUACGAUUGAUAUCGAAACCCCAUGAAGUCUCACAAGUCACAAUCUCGUCGAGGUAGACUUGAGCUAACUUGUCUCCCGACCACGUAGUAUGUAUCGGCAAGAAGUGUGCCGACUUUGUCAAUCGAUCUACUAUCACCCAUAUCGCAUCGUGUCCGCCUUGCGAUCGAGGCAAACCGGUAACAAAGUCCAUCGCUAUAUCUUCCCACUUCCACACGGGUAUAGAUAGACUUUGUAGCUUUCUCGCCGAAAAUCGGCGUUCUGCUUUAACUUUUUGGCACGUUAGACAUUGCGCCACAAACUCUCCAAUAUGUCUUUUCAUACCCGGCCACCAAUAAUGCUCUUUCAAAUCCUUAUACAUUUUAGUGCCACCGGGGUGUAUACUAUAGGGAGAUUGGUGCGCUUCUUGCAUGAUUGCCCUUCGCAACUCAUCAUCUUUGGGCACGUACCAACGAUUUCGAAAUCGAAAUGCACCGUCAGCUCCAAUGCCAAAGUCUUCGGCAUUGCCAUUCUCAACUUCCCCUUGCAUCUUUUGAAGGUAAGGGUCCGAGGCUUGAAGAUCCUUGAGUCUUUCCAAUAGGGUCGGUUGCACAACUAAUGCGGUAAGUGUAGCCGGCACUCCCGGCGCUACCACUUCCAAUCCAAAUCGUUGCAUCUCCUUUUGCACUAGCGGUUGAGGCGUAAUUGCCAUCGCUAAGUUCUCCGCCGAUUUUCUACUUAGAGCAUCGGCCACGACAUUGGCUUUCCCGGGGUGGUACAGUAUAGUGACAUCGUAGUCCUUCAACAAUUCCAACCACCGCCGCUGCCGCAUAUUCAACUCCUUCUGGGUGAACAAGUACUUGAGACUCUUGUGAUCUGUGUAGACCUCGCAAUGCUCACCAUAUAAGUAAUGCCUCCAAAGCUUUAGCGCGAAGAUCACCGCGGCUAACUCGAGGUCGUGAAUCGGGUAGUUCUUCUCAUAACUCUUUAAUUGGCGCGAUGCAUAUGCAAUGACUCGCCCAUUUUGUAUUAAUACAUACCCGAGACCAACAUAAGAGACAUCACUAUACACUACAAAAGUCUCCCCCGGAGUCGGCAAGGCAAGCACCGGGGUCGACGUCAACCUGUUCUUUAACUCCUCGAAGCUUCGAUCGCAAUCAUCGCCCCACACGUAUCUUACUCCUUUAUGCGUAAGGCACGUUAGUAGAAUGGUUAUUUUGGCGAACCCCUCCACGAACCGCCGGUAGUAGCCCGCAAGUCCAAGAAAACUGCGGACCUCCGCUACAUUCGUCGGGCGAGGCCAAUCCUUUGUUGCCUCUACUUUCUUCGGGUCUACCGAAACUCCAUCGCCCGAUACCACAUGACCUAAAAAUGUGACCUCCUUUAGCCAAAAAUCACAUUUCUUCAACUUUGCAUAGAGCUUCUCUUGUCUGAGUAUUUGCAACACAGCUCUCAGAUGCUCUUCAUGUUCCUCUUAACUUUUCGAGUAGACCAAUACGUCGUCUAUAAACACCACGACGCAUCGAUCCAACAACGGCCUAAAGACUCGAUUCAUCAAGUCCAUAAAUGCUGCUGGGGCGUUAGUAAGCCCAAACGGCAUUACCGUAAACUCCUAAUGGCCAUACCGCGUGCGGUACGCCGUCUUGUGCACAUCCAUCGGCCUAAUCUUUAGUUGAUGAUACCCCGAUUGGAGAUCAAUCUUCGAAUACACCUUGGACCCUUGCAACUGAUCGAAUAGAUCGUCAAUCCUUGGCAACGGGUACUUGUUCUUUAUCGUCACUUUGUUCAACUCGCGAUAAUCUACGCAGAGUCGAAGUGUGCCAUCCUUUUUCUUCACAAAUAGCACCGGAGCUCCCCACGGUGACACACUCGGUCUCACGAAGCCUUUAUCGAGCAAGUCUUGUAGUUGACCUUUUAGCUCCUUUAACUCCACCGGUGCCAUUCUAUACGGAGCCUUCGAAACUGGUUCCGCCCCGGGAAUCAAGUCAAUGACAAACUCAACUUCCCGGUCCGGUGGCAGUCCCGGUAACUCCGCCGGAAAUACAUCCGGGUACUCGCACACUACUCGAAUAUCUCCCAACUCUGGGUACUCCUUUCGAGCAUCCACCAUGGUUGCCAAAUAGGCCUUACACCCUCCUUUGAUCAUUCUCUUCGCCCUUACAGACGAUAUAGUCGCCGCGAAGCGCCUACUUUUGCACGCUUGGUAGACUAACUCUUCUUGAUUAGGCUCACGAAAAGUGAUCACCUUGCUUUCACAAUCUAUCACCGCAUAGUACUUGGAGAGCCAGUUGGUCCCCAAGAUAACAUCGAAUCCCCACAUCUGAUCUAGCACUAGCAGAUCAAUCGGCAUAAUCCAAUCGCCUAUUUGCACUGGACAAGCCAAACACUCGUUAUGGACACUGAAUGAAUGUUCUUGGGCAUUCACCCACCAGUAGUCCUCGUUGUAUACCAUCUCUAUGCCAUGAGUUUUAGCAAAUGACGUGCUAAUGAAUGAAUGAGAUGCACCUGUAUCAAACACUGCUCUAGCUCUAGUGCCUUUAAUCACAAUUAUACCUGCCACGACGUCGUCGGGCGCUGUAGGUUGUUGUUCCUCCACCUGAGCGGCAAAGACUCGGCCGGUAGGUGCUCUCGAUCCCUCCGGCUGACGCGGUGAUGACGCACGCCCAGCCGACAUCGCUGGUGGUAACCCCGCAAGCUGUCUCGGGGUAGACGGUGCUGAAGCCGCCGUCGGCGCAGACGACGUCCAUGUCGGGCACUCCCGGAUAAGGUGUCCCAGUUGGCCACACUUGAAACACUUGCCGUCGUGCUGCGGGCAAGUCGACACCUUGUGCUUACCGCCGCAAAUAACACAUCGAGGAGGUCUCCAGUUCAUCGACUGCUGCCGGGGAUACCAAAGGGAUUUCUUAGCAUUUGGCCGGCCCCUGGCACCGCCCGCCGUCCGCUUCUUGCCUUUCUCUUUACUCUCGGCCAUAGCUUCUCGUUCUUCGCGUACAUGGGCGCUACCGUGCUCCGCCCACAAAGCUCUAUCAAAAACCUCCGCAAAGGUCAUCAACUUUAAGAUCUGCACCUUUUCGUAGAUCCGGGGCUGGAGUCCUCGCAAGAACCAGUCAGCCCGAUCCCGAUCAUCUCUAACAACAUCGGGAACACAGUCUAUGAUGUGAGAGAAUUCUUGCUCGUAUUCCCUCACCGAUCGAUCGCCCUGUCUCAACUUGGGGAACUUUUCUUGUAACCUCCGCUUCACCGUGUCAGGGAAGUAGUUCGCGAAUAACGCUCUCUUGAACUCCUCCCAAAGCACAAGCGGGAGAUCGGUAGGUCAAUCCCGCUUCACUCGCUUCCACCACACCAUCGCCGCCCUCUCUAGACAAUGUGUGGCGAGGUACACUUUAUCCUUCUCCGAGGUAUUGAGGUCCUCGAAGAGCGUUUCCAUCGAGUCGAUCCACGACUCCACCACCGCUAGCUCCACCAAUCCACCCUCAAAGACAGGUGGGUUGAACUUCUUGAACUGAAUGAGAGCCGCCAACGUGCGCUCUCGCUCCGCUUCUACCGCCGCACUAUCGGGAUUUGAGGUUCCCGAUCCGGCCGGUACUACCGUAACUGGAACAGCCGCCGCUGCUGCCGCUCCCUCGUCCACGCCCGGCACUACCACAGGGGAUACGACAUGCUCGGCACCCACCUGGGCCGCCGCCUGCUGUCGCUCCAAGGCCUCCCGGAGCCGCUAAAUCUGCUCCCCUUGGCGUUGGACAGACUCCGCUUGUUGUCGCACCACUCCAAUGAGCGCGGCCAUUUGCUCCCUGAGCUCUCCGUCGCUACUCGCUCCGGAUCGCUCGGGCUCCGCACUUGGCUCCUCCGGCAUCGACCUUGUCUGCGGUCGUCCACGAGGUGCCAUUGCUUCCUGAAAAGAAGCAACUCGCGUUAGCUACUUGACCAACAUUACUUGACCAACCCAAUCCGGCGAAAGCAACAUGCACAUUCACCCUUGCCUCUCGCGUCAGGUCGUCGGCCGCCCGACACAACGCUAGAAGUAGAGGAUAAACGAAAUUUAAACUUAGCCUCUAAUCACAUUAGAGACGUCCCAACUUGACCCAAUCACAUGCUUUCGCUAACAUUAAUUCCACGUCACUCACGUUUCCUAGAUCCUUAAGGUCUUCCAAUCCUAAGGGUCUCUAGGUCCAUUCCUAUUCUUUCACUCUGAUACCACGAUAUCUGUCAUGCCCCGGGACCGAUACCAAUUUGGGCCGGCCCGAGCACGUCAAACAGACGCCGAACGGACAGAGUUUUUCCUGUCCGCCCAAGGCUCAUCACAUGUACAUUUUCAAACAAGAAGUGCAUUAGCGGAAACAUACAAAUACGGCUUACACGAGGGUAAGCAAUAGCCACGAGUGAAAGAAAAGAAACUAAACAUUUACUUGUACUAUGAUUCAUUUUAGAUCAUAUACAUUAAAUCCAACUUGUACAAUUUCAAUUCCUUACAUUCAUUACAUCGUUUCGUCAUUUCUUUCUUACAUCACAUUUACCUCAAAAGAGGGCUUUACAUUCUUUCUUUACAUCACUAAUCAUCAAGUACAAAAGAUGAUAAAAGGGUAUGUUACUACAAAAUGUAAACCCAACUCUGGUGGCCACUGUUUAAGGCGCGAUAUCUUUACCUCGAUCGCUCGCCGGCUCGCUCGGUCCCGACUCUGUGGAAUAGUGGGGUGAGAACUACAACAAAGUUUCCAGUGGGUUCGGCCUCAAUCUCACCGACUUUCCCACUAGGACUAACUCAGGCAUAAUAGAAAGGAAAAGCUGUAAAUAGUAACCAAUCUAUAACAUGAUACAAAUAUGCCUGAACAAUAAGCAGGAAGUAUGCUCAAUAUUAACAUAUGCAGAUUAUGCAAGUUCUUUUGUUCUUUACACUUUACACUUUGUGUUUUUACUCUUUGCUCUUUGUUCUUUAAUCUUAAGGCUAACCCGGGGGUUUCGCCACAUUAACUUGCUUCACAUUAAGUCCAUCAUCGCGGGCCCUCAGCUUCCUCCCGCUAAGACCGUCCUUCAGGUUUACUCCAACCCGUGAUGCAAAAACUCCGGAGCGCAUCGCCCGAGGGGGAGCGACCGCCCUCGAGCACGGAACUCAUAGCAAGUAUGAUCGAAUCCUUAACUCAAAGGAUUGUAUGUUCAAUCUUGACUUUACACUAACUCUAGUGUUCUUUACAUCACUUUAUGUUGCUACUCUAGCAAUCAUGGUUCUUUACCUUUCUUUACUUUUGCUAACUUUAGCAUUUUUGUUCUUUACACCCACUUUGUUCUCACUUUAGUCAUUAUCAUUGUUCUUUACAUCGCAUUGACUCUUUGCCUCACACUACCUCUAGUGUCACUUUACUUUACAUUAUCAAAUGCCACUCAAUCUAUGUCUCAUUGUGUCACUCUAUUCUUUCGCCUCACUUUGGUGCUCUUUGGUACUCACAUUUUCUCUCAUGCAUACAUAUAUAGGGUUUUGACAUUCAUAAGGUUCUCAACCAUCACAUUAUGCAAGUUGUACUCACAAUCAUGCAACAUCACAUUUUUAUCAUUACUUUACCCUAGGUGCAUGCAACAAUGUAUAUACAUAUGUUCAAUUGAAUGACACAUUAGAUAUAGAGGGAAGUUCAACGAGUUUGAAAAGCACCACCCACCUCGUAGGUUUUCAAGGGUGCUCCGAUGAUUUUCUUGAAAUUUUUAGAUCCUUCGUUCUUUACCUGCGGCAAAACGAAGCCAACUUAGGCCAUUUUGCCCAUAACCUUUUAUAGACUUUUCGUAAUGCUAAUCCGAGCGCACCAACGCGUCGGAAAUACCCCCAAUUAGGUUUCUAGAGGGUCAAUUUCACUUAGAAAUCUCCAAAAGCAAAAGCCCCAAUUUGGGUGCCCUAACUCCAUAGCAUACAUCAAACCUAAGGUUUGAUCUCAAGGGGAAGCAAAAAUAGCUUCAUUCUACUCUAAAGAGUCUAUCUAAACCAUUCUUAGCUUAAUCAAAACCCAUUUUAGGGUUUCACCAUGAGAGGUGGUUGAAGCUCACCCCUAAGCUUCAUUACAUACACCAUUUCCAUGGUUUGAUCUCUAAAAGAAGCAAGAAAAAGCUUCAAAUACUCAAUAGGUUCUAUAAAAACCAUUUCUAGGGUCUUUAUCACAAUAGGGAUCAAAGCUUACCUCAAAGCUUUCCCUCCUUGCUUCAAUGAGGAAGAAGAUGGAGUUGCUUCAGUCCCUUGGCUUUUUCUUCACCUUCUUCUUCUUUUUCUUCUCUUCUUUUUCCUUCUUUUCCUUGUCUUCUUCUUCUCCUUCUUUGUCCUCUAGAGAGAGAAAGAGAGGAGAGAGUGUGAGAGGGUGAGAAAUGAGAGAAAUUUUCCAUUUACCCCCCCUUACAUAGCUCAAUGGGUUGCCAAAUUGCUAUUAAACCCCUCAACUUUUACUUUAUUACACUGCCUGGACUGGGCAGAUUUCGGGCUCAGGGACCGGUCUCCCCGACUAGGGACCGGUUCCCGAAGGUCCUCCCCGCGGGCAGCAGGGCUUUCGUGCAGAACAACCGGUCUCUCCCAAUGAGAUCGGUCUCUCGGGGACCGGUCUCUCCCCGCAGGGUCCGGUUCCCGAGAGCUAAUUUUCUAGGACUUAGCCGAUUUUCGGCCUCGCUCAGUUUUCACACGUUCGGGGAUCGGUCUCUCCCACCAGGGAUCGGUCCCCUAGAGCUCAAAAACUGCAGUUUGCAGAUUUUUGAUUCUUUAGCUCUCGAAACCUCCCAUAACUCACUUUUGAUCAUUUUAACACCUACGGACUUUCCAAAGUGUACCAUCCUCACACUUUGGUCAAUUUGACUAAAGUUCGAUAUUUAUUUUCCGAAUUUUCGGUAUAUUACAAUGUCACUAUUGCCUCAAUAUUCAUAAGGUUUUUUUUGUCUAGCAAUCCAUAUUUUUAGGUGCUAAUCAAUCCAUCUAGUCAUAAUAUCACCUUGUUUACUAUAUUGUCAUAGUCCACCACUUGGUUCAUACAUUCAUAGGGUUUCAAUAUAUCCAAGAUUCUAGUCACAAUUUAUAUACCACUUGAUACAAGCAUUUCCACAUGUUUUCCAUAACAUGACAUUAAGCCUACAAUGCAUGAAUACUGUACAUAUACACAUAUGCUCAAAAGAAGGCGGGAUAAACAUAAUGAGAAAUUCAAUGAUUUCGAAUAGCACUACCCACCUUGUAGGGAUGCCGAGGUGCGAGAAUCCAAGUCCUGCGAUUUUUAAACGCCUAAAUCCCUCGACCCACGGCUAACGGAAGCAAAAUGAGGUUUUUCCUCAAUAUAAUGCUGUUGACUCAUCGGAACUUCGAUCCGAGUCUCCUAACGCAUCAAAUUAAUCUUUAAUUAGGAAUACAAGAGAUCAAUUUUAUAAUAGAUCUCAAUUCCUACAAAAUCCUAUUUCCAACCCUAAGGUUUACACAUACUACCCAUAAUCCAAAUUUCUUAGGAUUUUAUGGAGUAAUCCAAGUUUUCAAUCCUAAGAACUCAAAAACAAACAAAUUAGGGUGUUUACAUUGAACCCUAACAAAUAGGAGCAGGAACCUACCUAAGCCACCUUGUUCCCCAAAGCCCUCCUUGUUCUUGAGCCUCUCUACCACCAAGACCACCAAUUCCACCUUCGAUUCUCCUCCCAAACCUCCUUGAUGGAGAGAUUCUAGAGAGAGAAGGAGAGGUAGAUGAGAAGAAGAAGGAGAAAAUGUAUUCUCUUGCAUGAGAAUAACAGGUGUAGGGUUGGAGUUAUUUAUAGACUCCAACAAUUGCAGCUAAGUCCCCCAACAAUUCUCACUUACAACCAUGAAAAAUUCAGUCCUGCACAGGACUGAGUACCGGUACUUGGGUUGGAGUACCGAAUACGCGGGCUCCCAGUACCGGUACUCAACUACGCAGUACCGGUACCCGCCAAGGCCGCAACCAAACCCGAGAGCUAGCAUUCGGGGUUUAAUGCGGAGUACCAGUACGCAGCACCCCGUACCGGUACACGAUAGGUCCAGUACCGGUACUAGCUACGUGGUACCGGUAUCCAACCAUGUGACCUCCCAAACCCGAGAGCUCACCUUUCGGGCAAUUAACUGAGUACCGGUACUCAACCUCCGGUACCGGUACGGAGCUUGCCAAGGUCCCGAACUCGAGAGUUGAUCAUUUUGCAUUUCUUUUGGGUACCGGUACCCCGUCUCCUGGUACCGGUACUCAAUGCAAUUUCCACAAUUCCAGCAGGUUCAAUACUUUAGAGUUCAUUUUUGUGCUCGGUUUGCGCCGAAAACACCCAAACACUCUCGAAGCUCACUUCUAACUAUCCCAACGCCUUCAGGCAACUCGGGGACUUCACUUAUUACCCUCAUACCUCACUUUGAUCAAAUUCGAUCAAAGUUAGCAUUACGAUUCGGUAUAUUACAGUGUGGAUGACCGAAUUAAUUUCGGAGUGUUUUGGAGCAGUAGGGGGCUUAACGAAAAACCAAAAUGUGAAAAUCGAGCGAUUUAGGGAGCGAUUUCGUAUCACGCUGGUUGUUGCUAUUUGCAGCGGUGUGGUAGCCUUAUUUGAUGGUGUUGGAGUGAGGUGUGACACUUUUGGUUGCAGCAAGAUGGCUACGGGUGGUUCCGGUGCCGAAACGAGUAUUCCGGGAGCCAAACCGGUGAUUUCCAGGAUCCCGGCUUUCCGUUUUGACGCAUUCUUUGUGUGGCCGUCUCAAUGGCAUUAAUUUAAUGUAUUGGGACAGCGAAUGAGGUAGGCUUUGUCUAGGACUUGUUCUGGAAUGCCCUGUGAGUUGGCGUGACGUUUCGUCGAGUCGGUACGACGAUCAUGCGAUCUUCCGGUGACCGUUGGACGGAAUCCGGAAACUCGAUUGUUCGCUUGUUUGGAUUUAUUUGGAAUUAUAGGUUUUUAUAAUUAGCGGGUUUAAGCUAAUUACGUUUUUGGUGGGACUUUGUAUAGGUCCGGACUGUGGUGAAAGACAUCGAUGGGUGUCGAUGACCCGAUUUUUACUUUUCGGUAGAGGUGGGUACUUCUAUCCGAAGUUAGUAAAGUGGUGCCUGCUUGGUAAUUUCUAUCCUUGUUAUCUCCUUCUAUUUAUUUGUUGUUGGCUGAGCAUUCAUACACUACUUGACUUCAUAUUUAGUCGCUAUACGGUUACUCUUAUUUCAUAUGGUCAUAAUCUAGUAGUACAGUGGUGUUCCUGAUGAUUGAGUCAUCCAUGGUAUGUUCAUAGUAGAUAACCUUGUAGUCGGUGGAAUUUCCAUUUUGGCAUGCUCAUAGUAGAUGACAUGACAUUGAUUGACCUUGUGGUCGGUGACACUCAUAUUCGUAUACAACAUGAUUUGACAUUAGUUGACCUUGUGGUCGGUGACACUCAUAUUCGUACACAACAUGAUUUGACAUUAGUUGACCUUGCGAUCGGUGACUCUCUAGUAGACUAUUGCAUGACUGCAUUGUUUGAUCUGGUUGGUCGGUGAUAUUGUUCUAUCCUCGAGAUAGAGGUUUACCUGAUUGGUCGGUUAUUCCUUGUUGGAUUUUAUCUCGGCUAUCCGGCGAUAGUUCGCUAUUGAGCAUAUUACAUCGAUCACCACAGCUCAUGUACAUUUUACGUACACCAGUGGUCUGAUCCACUGCAGGAGGGUAUUAUUUUUCGAAAAGUGGUCGUACUUCGACCCGUGAACCUAGCAGCCUAUUGCUAGGGUUAUAUGCCUGGUGGUUGACCAUAAUGUGGAAUUGCCUGAGGUCUUUAGACCAAUACGGUGGGUUUGAUUGGGUAUUUUUGGACGAUCUGUUUGGUUGAUACAUGUAACACCCCCAAUAGUCACACAUCGGAUGGGAUACUGAUUCCGAUCAGUUUAUAUGAGGCCUACACGCUGGUAACAAUAACUGGGCUUAAGCAUUUUGGGCUGGUGGUUUGAGCCCAACGAGUUAUUGUUGCUAGCGGGUCGGAUCGUUAUAAUUGGUAUCAGAGCCGAAUACUAGCCGGAAGUGUUGAGCUAAUUGCUAUACGGGGCAAAGUGCUACACCAACGGGUUUGGUGGGAGCCACCUCUUGAACCUGUAGGACCCAUCUCUAGAAUCUCACAUCGCCUGAUAAUUCUGGUCCUGGUCUGUCUGUCUGUCUGUGAUAUGGUUUGGACCCGAUGAGGACGUUAGGGUCUAAACAGGGGGAGUUUGUAACGCCCCAAUAGUCCUACAUCGGGUGGGAUACUGAUUUCAAUCGGUUUAUAUGAGGUCUACACGCUAGUGAUAAUAACUGGGUUUAUGCAUUUUGGGCGGGUAGUUUGGGCCCAACGAGUUAUUAUUGCUAGCGGGUCGGGUCAUUUAUACCAAAUGUAACAACCCGACCUGCCAGCAAUAAUAACUCGUUGGGCCAAAACCACCGGCCCAAAAUGCUUAAGCUCAGUUAUUAUCACUAACGUGUAGGCCUCAUAUAAACCGUUCGAAAUCAGNUAUGCAUUUUGGGCGGGUAGUUUGGGCCCAACGAGUUAUUAUUGCUAGCGGGUCGGGUCAUUUAUACCAAAUGUAACAACCCGACCUGCCAGCAAUAAUAACUCGUUGGGCCAAAACCACCGGCCCAAAAUGCUUAAGCUCAGUUAUUAUCACUAACGUGUAGGCCUCAUAUAAACCGUUCGAAAUCAGUAUCCCACCCGAUGUGGGACUAUUAGGGCGUUACAAACUCCCCCUGUUUAGACCCUGACGUCCUCGUCGGGUCCAAACCAAAUCACAAACAGAUAGACCAGCACCAGAAUUACCAGGCGAUGUGAGAUUCUAGAUGUGGCUCCUACGAGUUCAAAAAUGUGGCUCCCACCAAAUCCGUUGGUGUAGCACUUUGCCCCAUAUAGCACUUAGCUCUCAUACUUUCGAUUGUUAUUCGGCUCUGAUACCAAUUAUAAUGACACGACCCGCUAACAACAAUAACUCGUUGGGCUCAAACCACCAGCCCAAAAUGCUUAAGCCCAGUUAUUGUUACUAGCGUGUAGGCCUCAUAUAAACUGAUCGGAAUCAGUAUCCCAUUUGAUGUGGGACUAUUGGGGGUGUUACAAACUCCCCCUAUUUAAACUCUGACGUCCUCGUCGGGUCUAAAUCGGAUCACAGAUAGACAGACAUACUAGAAUUAUCAGGCGAUAUGAGAUUCUAGAGGUGGUUCCUACGGUUUCAAGAGGUGGCUCCCACCAAAUCCGUUGGUGUAGCACUUUGCCACGCAUAGCACUUAGCUCUCAUAUUUUCGACUCGUAUUUCGCUCUGAUACCAAUUGCAACGACCCCACCCGCUAGCAACAAUAACUCGUUGGGCCAAAACUACCGGCACAAAAUGCUUAAGCUCAGUUAUUAUCACUAGCGUGUAGGCCUCAUAUAAACCGAUUGAAAUCAGUAUCCCACCCGACGUGGGACUAUUGGGGCGUUACAAUACAUACUUACAUUCUGUUCUACAUUACAGUAGCGGUUAGUUACAUUCCUCGUUACGGUUGUUUUUUCUUCCAGUAUUAUUAUUGCUGUACUUAUGAUAUCUGCUCAUGCAUUCUGUUCUACAUUAUUGUAGCGGUUAGUUAUAUUCCUGUUUACUGCUAAUUAUCUUUCUAGUAUUAUUGCUACUGUAUUUAUGAUAUCUCCUCAUGAUUAUGGUUAUCGCUUCCUUUGCCGGUGAGUACUCCUCACUUUCGUUGGCUUGCGGUACCCAUUGGGAGGGGAGACAUGUGUACAUGUUCUCACCCCCCACCAUUUUUCAGGUGACGCGGAUGGUGAGGGUUCGGACGAUGCGUGAGGACGGUGUUAGAUAGUUGUACCAAGAGUUAUCUAUUGAUGAUGUUCAUUAUUUUUCUGUUGGAUUUGUUUAGUUCUUCACCUCACUGAUGCUUAAUAUUAAUUGAUAUAUCCGAAUUAUUGUUAUAUUAUGAUCAUUGGAUGUUUGCGUUGUGUGGUGGUUUGUGUGUUGGACCUUGUACUAUGAUGCUCCGUCGUGCAUGUACAAAGAAGACUAUGUCCGUCCAUGCAGGGGAUCCUUUGUCUAUGUGGUAGGUCUGUGCGGGUCCACGGGAUGUUCUCAAAAGUAUAUAUAUAAAAAAAUCACAUGUUUUCCGCUACCUUUCCUACAAAAGAUUUUCAACAGAACUACGGGACGUAACAGAGCUCCACCCGCAAUAGUCAACAGCAUGAGAGCCUCGCUCUCUCCGCUGUAUAAUUCUGACUCAGCCGAGACUUAUCUCACACUUCCGGCUGGUAAUUGGCUCUGAUACCAACCGUGACGCCCCAACUUCCUAGGAGGUCAUCCAUCCUAAGACUAUGGCCCCCUCCUAAGACUAGUCCCGCCCUAGCACGCUUAACUCUAUUAACCUCUUGGGUCUAACCACCGCCCAAAAUGCUUAAGCACAGUUAUUAUUAUGAGGGUGGAGCCCUCCUAUAAACCCAAUGACAACCCCAUUCUUAUCCGAUGUGGGACUAUUGGGGUGUCACACCGAUGGAGAGCAAGAGUCCAGCUUGGAAUACUACGACAUCAACGUAGGUAGCCAGACUCCGGAGCGACACUCGUGGGCGUGAUCCAACCGAGUAUGCAAGCGUGUCUCUAUCGAGCACAAUCAAUCUUAUACAAGCUAUAAUCAAAACAAAUGAGUCAAACUAGUCUAACAAUCAAGACUCACGUGCCCUCGACACAAUCAGAUGCAAGAAGUAAAAAUAUGGGCCCACCAUCAGCUCCGAUAGCACCCAACUAUAUGAAAUAGUCUAAAUGUUGCUGUAAAAAUGUGCUCAGCAUCUCAGCAUGAAUGUAAUCUCAAUCUACACUAAUCUCAGUAUCCACCUCGCACUAACAGCAGUGAUACAAAAGGAAAAACAGCUCCUAAAGCUAAAUCAGUUAACUUUUCGAAAAGUGAUAGGCGUAAAUUUAAUAAGUUUUCUCCUAAGUCAAAUCCUAAUUCAACAUAUAAAACUUAUCUAAAAUCAUUAGAUUAUACUCCAAAUUAAGAUUUCAUAUAAAAACAUGCAAAUCCAUGAAUUCGAGCUACUAACAAGAUUAUAUAACCCAAAUAAAAGCAUGCUGAAAUUCUCUACAAGUUAGGAGGAAUUUCGAAGUAUUCAGUCGACAUUAACCAACCUCAAACACGAGUCCAACAACGGCUAGAAAUCGACGAGAAGAACCCUACACAAGAUCAGCCUCAACCAAAGCAAUAUCAGCCUGCAGUCCAGUUCUAGAUCCUUCCGCAGCCACUUAUGGGCACCCAGAUCUUGAGUCCAAAUCUGCCCAUUGCCAGCUCCAAGACUACCCGAGUUCCAUUUGGAAAUUAGCUCAAUUCUGAGUUGAAAGUCAGGAAAACUUCACCAAACAUAUCCCCGCAAUAAAAAGAAUUGAAGUGGACUAAAUCCUCAUCUCCGUCACAAAGAUCGAGCUCUCAAAAUAGCCACAAAAGUCCCUCCUUGCAAUCUGGAUCCAGAAAAAAAGGUCGAGUUUAGGAUCCAAAAAACUGCACGUAAACAAUUUCUUGCUCCAGCUCAAAUCCAAGAAUUCCAACUUAUAAAACUAGUGGAAUAAAGUCACAAACCUCCAAAGAUGAGGGAAUGAGCAAUCCAAAUCCAACAAUAAGCCCUCUACCAAAAUUUGGAUUCAAAAGUCUAAGAAUUUCCAUCAAAACCUCAAAAACUGUAUUAGAAGUUCAAUUCAUCCAAAAUCUGAGCUAAACUCACCUUUGAAUCUGAAAUUCUGGUGAGGAACAACUUCUAAACUAGUGAAGAAGGAUGAGGAAACAAAUCCAAGUCCAAAAGUCCAAUCUCUACAUGAAUCGAGUCUAAGAAUCCAUAAAAAUCUCAACUUUAGCUCAUAACACCAAUUUCCCAGGAAUUUCAGCAAUUAGACACUACUAACCUGAAUUAAAAGCUGUUAGAAGGAUCCCACAUACUCUCUAUCAAGUCUUCUAUUCACGAAAUCACUCCUUACAACAAUUGGAUGCUCCAACAAUGCACACGAGUAAGUUCUAUCCCAAUUGCUACUAGAAUUCUGCAGAAUUUCUAAGUCCUCAAUGAUAAAAAGUGGAAUUUAAGGGAUUUGGAGGGGGUUCCAUGCAAAAUCCUGAGUUUCCUGUGAUGAAGGGGAGAAAAUGUCACGCCCCGAGACCGAUACCAAUUUGGUCCGACCCGAGCACGUCAAACAGACGUUGAACGGACAGAGUUUUCCCUAUCCGCCCAAGGCUCAUCACAUGUACAUUUUCAUCAAUAGAGAAAAGCACUAGCGGAAACAUACACAAACGGCUUACACGAGGGUAAGCAAUAGCCACGAGUGAGAGAUAGGAAACUAGCAUUCAUUUUGUACUAUGAUUCAAUUUAGAUCAUAUACAUUACAUCCAACUUUUACAUUUACAAUUCCCUAUAUUUCAUUGCAUCAUUUCAUCAUUUCUUUCUUACAUCACAUAUACCUCAAAAGGGUGCUUUACAUUCUUUUCUUUACAUUAUUUCUCAUCAAGUACAAAAGAUGAACAUAGGGAAACUCUACUAGUAAAAUGUAAACCAACUCUGGUGGCCUUUGACUAAAGUGCGAUACCUUUAUCGCGGUCGCUCGCCGGCUCGCUAGGUCCCGGCUCUGUGGAAUAGUGGGGUGAGAACUACAACAAAGUUCCCAGUGAGUUCGGCCUCAAUCUCACCGACUUUCCCACUAGGACUAACUCAGGCAUAAUAGAAAGAAUAGGCUGUAAAUAGUAACUAAACUAUACAUGAUACUAAUAUGCCUGAACAAUAAGCAGAAAUAUGCUCAACAUUAAAUAAAUGCAGAUUAUGCAAAUUCUUUGUUCUUUUCACUUCAUUCUUUGUUCUUUGUUCUUUGUUCUUUGUACUUUGUUCUUUACUCUUUGUUCUUUAACCUCAAGGUUAACUCGGGGGUAUCGCCACAUUGACUUGCUUCACAUUAAGUUCAUCAUCGCAGGAACUCACCCGCUAGGACCGUCCUUCGGGUUUACUCCAACCCGUGAUGCAUAACUCCGGAGCGCAUCGCCCGAGAGGGAGCGACCACCCUCGAGCACGGAACUCAUAGCAAGUAUGAUCAUAUCCUUAACUCAAAGGAUUUAUAAGUUCAAUCUUGACUUUACACUAGCUCUAGUGUUCUUUCAUCACUUUUUGUUGCAAACUCAUGUAAACACAUUCUUUACAAUUCUCUACUUUUGCUAACUCUAGCAUUUCUUAUUCUUUUCAUUUCUUUACUCUUGCUAACUCUAGCAAUCAUAUUCUUUACAUUCUUUACUUUUGGCUACCUCUAGCACUUCAUGUUCUUUACUCCCCACAUUACUUUAACUUUAAACAUCGUCAUUUUCAUCAUUCUUUAUAUUACAUUGGUUCUUUACCUCACAUUAUCUCUAGUGUCAUUUCACUUUAACUUUAUCGAAUGCCGCUCGAUCUAUGUCAUUGUGUCGCUCUGUUCUUUUGCUCACUUUGGGUGCUCACUUUUCUCUCAUGCAUACACAUAGGGUUUUUGACGUUCACAUAGUUCUCAUUCAUCAUAUUAUGCAAGUUGUACUCAUAAUCAUGCAUCAUCACAUUUUUAUCAUUACUUUACCCUAAAAUGCAUGCAACAAUAUAUAUACACAUACUCAAAUGAAUGACACAUCAGGCAUAGAGAGAAGUUCAAUAAGUUUGAGAAGCACCACCCACCUCGUAGGCUUUCAAGGGUGCUCCGAUGAUUUUCUUGGAAUUUUUAGACUUCUCGUUCUUCACCUACGGCAAAACGAAGCCAACUUAGGCCAUUUUGCCCAUAACUUUACAUUGGCUUUCGUAACGUUUUUCCGAGCGCACCAACGCGUUCGUUGGAUCCCCAAUUAGGUUUUUGGAGUGUCAAUUUCACUUAGAAAUCCCCAUGAGCAAGAGCCCCAAUUUGGGUGCCCUAUGUCACGACAUAAAGAUUUUCUCCGCGAUUUCGCUUUGCAAUCACCCAAACUCCAAAGCGGACAUCUGACGGAGGUUUUGGCUUGGAAUCUUCUGGAAGCUUCUACGCGGAUCUCGAGACUGAUGGUGCGGAUACCGGAGGGUCAAGAGUCCCUUAGAGUUUCUAGGAUAAUAAAUGUAUGACUCUUGGGAGACCGUAGCGUACUUAUUGGCCUCCCCUUUUGGCUUGUAGUAUUGUGCCACUUGGCACCUUUUCAUUGGCACUAUGAGCGGCGAGUGGCCUAUAUAUAGUGUGGCCUCCACCCCUCUCAUUUCAGAAUCCUCAUUUGUAUUCUCAACUAUUGAAGUAAUAGAAGAGCUUUCUUCUUAUCUCUCUCUUGUACUUAGUCUAGGGCGAGUGAAGUCCUAACUUAGCAAGUAGAGAGGCAGGCUUGCUCACUUCGCGGAGGAAGGCGAGCGCCGCACGGGCUUUUGUGAGCAAAUUCGUUAAGUCCGUGACAGUUGGUAUCAGAGCCGGUUCGAGAAGGAGCCAUGUCAUCAUCAGAGGCCGCUGCUAGCGACGUUGGGGGUGAUGCCUCCAAGCAACCCUCCAAGCGGGGCAAGGGCAAGGACACGCGAAUCACGAAGGAUUCCGUGUCGGUCGAGGACCGCCUUGCACUGUUGGAGGACAUUCUAUCGAAGGUGGGAGAAAGGUACACCGAGAUGGCCGAUACCUUUAACGCCUUCAAUGAAGAUGUUCGCAGUAUGGAGGAGAGCGUCGCCACUGCCAUGGCGACCUUUCGAGGCGAGCUCGAGAAACUCCAAGACAACAUCACCCGUCGUGACGACGAACGGAAGAACUUGAUCGAGGAGCUAGUCACUCGAGUCGACGAGGUCGAGGACCUCAAGACGAGAGUGACUAUCUUGAGAAGGCGGUGGCUCGAGGCGGUGAAACGCAGAAGGAGUACACCCCAAAGGUCCGCGUCCCUGAACCCCAAUGCUUCAAGGGAACGCGCGACGAGAAGGAGAUAGACAACUUCCUUUGGCACAUGGAGCGCUAUCUCAAGGCGCUGCGGAUCGAGGACGAGGAGGACAAGGUCCAGACUGCUUCCAUGUACCUCACCGACGACGCGAUGCUGUGGUGGCGUCGGCGUUCUGCAGAGGCUGAGAAGGGCCAAUGCAAACUGGAUACCUGGGAGGACUUCGUGCGCGAACUCAAGGCACAGUUCUACCCCGAGCACGUUGAAUACUUGGCGCGGAGGCAACUUCGACGGCUCAAGCAUACAGGAUCCCUCAAGGAGUAUGUCAAGGAAUACUCCAAGCUGAUGCUUGCCAUCACCAGCAUGGCCGAGGAGGAUCGGCUGUUCUUCUUCCUCGACGGUCUUCAAUCGUGGGCUAACAAGGAGCUCGUGGCGAGAGAUGUCAAGGACGUGAGCUCCGCUAUCGCUCAGGCGGAGAAGCUGCUAGAGUAUGACAAGCCAGACUUCGCUCGUGGCAAANUGUUGGCUGCAGUCGGUUCAUAUCAGGAAUGGGUGUGUGUUUAUAGGGGAUCUAUCGCUCUCGGUAGAGAGAUAAUUAGUUCUAUGCUAUUUGUACGGCAAAGCUCAGAAAUCCUCGGCCGGGGUAAUAUGGUGUAUGAAAAGAUGUUUCCAAGAGUAACCAUAAGAGCUUCUGUCUGAUCAAAUUUGUCAUAUGACGGGUGAUGGGGUUUGACGAAUAUUCCAUGACCUCCACUCAGUUGGAACUAUGCGAUAGAAGGAUUGUAUUGUACGGUAACUGCACCUAGAGGUUCAGUCCGAUAUUCACUUCUGACUGGAUUGCCACUACAUGCUGCUAGGCGUCACUGGUGGAUUGUGGGAACCAAUAGAAAUAAUUAUUAAUUAUUCUAUUAUGGUGGAAUCAAAAGAGUUUGAGCCAUCGAAAAGAGUUUCGAUGAUGAUGGAGAUGGAGAUCUCAUCAUAUCUCACUACCAGACAGAAUUGAACCUAUUAGGUCACACACAUAAGAAAUCGCGCAUGAUCGAUAUUUAGGAGACGAUAAAAGAAGUUUAUUGGAUGGAUUAAUUAUAAUUACAAUAUAGUUAAAUACUAAAGUUUACUAAUUUAUUAGUAAAAGGACUAAUUUACAAUUGUUGUAAAUUAGAGGUAUUUAUGUGUAAAAGUUGCAUGGUGUAUUUACUAAUCAUUAGUAAAUAAUAUGAGGACUUAUGUGUAAAUGUUACACAUGAAUCGAAUUAGAAUUAGGAUUCGGAAUUCAGUUAAUAUCAUAACCAACUUGUAGGUUAAUGGAUAAUCUAAUCGGAAUAGGAUUUCGAUUAGGAUUACGUUAGGGUUUUCUCAUUCUAAAUAUAUGUCAUAUGACAUAUUAAAAUUAAUGGAAAAUUAAGUAAAAAGGAAAAAGAAAACCCUAGCCGUCAAUCCUUUUUCUUUCUUAAGUCCUCCACAAUAAAUCCAUCGAUUUCGAUCUUCAAAAGUUGCUAGCACAUCUAGAAGAUUGAUUCAUCUUCCUCAAGUCGACGCAAGAGAUUAAUUCGUGAUCGGAUCACGGAUUGAAGCGGUCGUCUAAUUCGAUCAUGGGCGUGAUUUCGUGUGGACGCGAGUAGAGGCCGGGCGCGUGCGCGGCUAACCGAGGACGAACAAAUUUUACCAACGAUUGUCGACUUCGCGGUGAUCUCGACCCGCACGAGGUAAAAUAAAAUAAUAUAGAUCCUAUUUGAUUAGAUCAAUUAGAUCUAUUAUUAAUGAUCUAAAACGAAACACGAGGUGAUCUUUGGUUUUCAAGAAAAUUUUUCAUUGUGUUAUUUUCUUCCGCUGCGUACACAUGAUUUUCUUACACUCGCCCCUCCUCGCUCAUGCCUACGAGAUUCGCGCUCCUCACGCACGAAAGCCUCGCCAUGCUCUGCCCACAACGCUCGGUCCAACACCUUCGCAAAGGUUGUGAGCUGGAAGAUUUGCACCCUCCUAUAAAUCUCCGGUCGAAGUCCACGCAGGAACCAAUCGGCCUUAUCCUUGUCACCCGUACCACAUCCGGGACACAAUUCACGAUGCGGGAAAAUUCCAGUUCAUAUUCCCUCACGGAGCGGUCUCCUUGCCGCAGCUUCCUGAACUUGUCCCGAAGCUUUCUCCUUUCAGUGUCGGGGAAGUACGUAGAAAACAUUAAUCCCCGAAAUUCAUCCCACGCCAUAGGAGGAAGACUAGGCGAUCGAUCCCGUCGAAUGCCUUUCCACCACGCCUUUGCUGAUUGCUUCAAGCAAUGCACAGCUAGGGGUACCUUGUCCCGCUCCAAGGUGUAUAGCUCCUCGAAGAGCGUUUCCAUGGAGUCAAUCCACACCUCCACGAUCCACGGAUCGUCAUUCUCUCCAUCGAAAAUAGGCGGAUCAAAUUUCUUGAAAGUCAUUAGGGCCGCCAAAGUUCGUUCUUUCUCCGCCUCCAAUUCCAUAGAACCAGGGGCCGCUGCCCCCGAAUCCGUCGCGACUCCUGUCGGUACACGACACGCUGCUACCGGCGCAGCUGCCGCAGGCUGUCGUGUCAACAAUUCAUGGAGCUCCUUGAUCUGCUCCUCCUGUCGCUGCACUAUGCCUAUGAGCGUAUUCAAUUGCUCACGGAGCAUCGGGUCUCCGCUCGCCUCAGCUUGCUCAAGAACACUUGUCCCUUCCCGCGCCGAUCUGGAUAAGGAUCGCCUACGCGGCGCCAUCGCUUCCUGAAACACGACAACUCGAUUAGUUCUCGACCAACUUGGGUCGAACACGAGACCACUAACAACGGCUCAAAAGCCAAUCAGGCGAAAGUCACGCGAGGGCGUCUAUUCUCAUCACUAGGUUUCAUGUUGUCGUACGCCAACAUGAACAUCCUUGGCUGAGAAUAAACCACACCUCAAGUCUACCUCUAAUAUCCAUCUUAGAGGUUUACGACACAACCCGAUCCAUUAAUCUUUCGCCACAAAUCAUAAAUCCUCGUCUCUCACGAGUCUUAUUCUCCUAUGGUUUACUAUCCUAGGGUCUCCUAGGUCUGUCUAAACCACUUUCUUUUCCCAUUUUCUACUUUAUGCUCUGAUACCACUUUACCUGUCACGCCCCGAGACCGCUCCCAAUUUGGUCCGGUUCGGGCACGCCGACAGACCGCCGAACGGACCGGGGUUUCCCCUGUACGCGGACAGAGUCUCCCCUGUACGUUCUAGGCGUCGCAAUCCAAACAAUGUACAUUACAAUGGUUCCAACCAGGAACAGAUAUCAAUCAUGAUUGCGUAAGGAAGUAUCAAACAACAUAAACACAUCCUAUGUUAUUACAACAUUCACAUUAGAUUCAUUUACUUAGAUCACACUUUAUAUAUUACAUCCAACUUCCAAUACAAUCUAAGUUAUUACAAGUUUAAUACAUUUUAUUCCUUUCAUUUUCUAUACCCCUAAGCUACGCCGACGGGGUACUGCUAGCUCUGGUCUCUGGGGGUAGGGCGCUAUCUAUGGAGCUACGCCCUUGCCUCGCGCCGCCGAGUCGCUCACGUGCGAACCUGUAAAACCCCAAAACAACGUGGGGUGAGAACCAACUCCAUGGUUCCCAGUGGGUACGGCCACCCAAGGGAGGAGCUCGACCAACAGGUCCAAGGGAGGCAAAUACAAGUUAGUCCAAUAAACAGAUAGAUAUGUAUAUCAUAAACAUGCAACUAACUUUACCUUGCUUUGCCUCACAAUAGCAACGAUGCCAUGCUAUAUGCAACAGGAAUAUAUGCAACAUGAAUAUAUGCAACAACUAGUAGAAUUAUUGAUUCUACAAUCAAUCUCGCUAAUCUUAGCUCAUGUCAUCCAACUCUAAGGUUUCCACUACCUUAGGUUAUCACAUUUACCACUAGCCCUCAAGGUUCUAUCUACCUUAUUCAAGCUAGCCACCCGACUCGGCCACGAGUCAAUCAACAGCGGAUAAUCCGCGCUCUGCCCGGCUCGAGGUGAAGGAUCCUGUCGCAUGCACCUCAGCCUGCAAGCCAAGAACCACAUCGCCCAACGGUCCGCCCGAAGGUCCGUGCACCGUGGUCAGGGAUCCGUUAGUGGGAGAGGAAACAUAGCCGCGUACACCCAUAGCCAAGAUCCCCGAUAGGGAGAGGAACAUGCCGUACACCCUAGCGCUCUUUGUUCUUGCUUAGUCAUAAUCCUCAAAGUUCUUUCCGGUGGGAGAGGAACAUCGCCGCAUACACCCGCGGUCCAAGAACUAUUGAGUUCACAAGUACUGGGAUUCCGGAAUCGACUUCACAAGUCAAGGGUCCAUAUCCAACCCUAUACUGUUGACCUACCUAGGUCCAAUGCACUUUCCACCCUAGGUCCAACAGACUCUAGGUCUAAUGCCUCGAUGCCACAACCUAGGUUUACCUUAACUCUAGGUUCAGUUCUCAACCUAUAUUCUUUAACACUAGGUUAGAUGCCACACACCUAGAUCCCGACUCUAGGUUCAUACUCAACCUAUGUUCUUUAACACUAGGUUAGAUGCCACUCGUUAUUUAUCCUAGGUUCAACAACACUAGGUUCAAUGUCAUCUAGGUUCGACCUAUGUUUAUUAACACUAGGUUAAUGCCACUCGAUCUACUUGAUAUCCUAUUUGUCAUAUCGAGUCCAUAUGCACAUGCAUCUUAUCUAACAUGCUCACAUGAUGUUACAUGCACCUAGCAUACAUUCCAAUGCACACAUACAUAUCACUUGCAUUAUCACUAGCAUGUUAUCAUAUCAUUUUACAUGGAUCUACUUAGCAUUUGCAUCAUAUUAUUAACAUACAUUAUAUACAUUUAUAUGCAUCAUCUAUAUGCCUCAUUUACAUUCAUAUGCAUCAACGUGGAUUCUUAAUCAUCUUAGACAUAAAGGGCGACCUAGUCGCUUCGGUAAACACAACCCACCUUAACUCGCGUUCCGAUUGCUCGUCGACACUUGCAAUCGGCCUCCCACGGCACCCGUGACCCGGUUCGGCUCGAACUCUUGCGCGACCACCCGAACGGCCACAAAUCCGCGAUUCGUCUAUUCUGGGGUUUAUUCCAUGACACCACGAUGCUCCCGAUCCGCUUUCAUGAUUUUUGGAGGCUUAUCUCGCGUGCUGCGGCUAUCUAUACCAAAACAGACUGUUUCGUUAAUAACUUCGCGUACGCUCGUCGGAUUGUCGAACCGAGCGCACUAACGCGUUCGUUAUACCCCCAAUUAGGUUUACAGAGGGUUAAAUGAGAUCAAACCCAUCUAUUUACAAAAAUCCCAUUUUUGAGCCCUAGUUUGCGACUACGGCAAAAUACCCCGAAUCGAUCUCCGAUUCAUGCAAUAAACAUCUAACUAGCAUCAAAGGAGCCUACUAAUCUCACUUCUAGAGCAAUUAGACCUAUUUCUAGAGAUCUACCAUGAGAGGGUAACAAAGCUUACCUCUCUAGGUUCACUCCAAGCACGAGGAAGACGAAGGAGAGGAUGAAGAUCCCUUUCUUGAUCUUCUUCUCCUUCUUCUUCUCUUCUCUUCUUCUCCUUCCUCUUCUUCUUCUCUUCUUCCUUCUUCGUUUAAAGAGAGAGAGAGAGAGGUUUGGGGUUGAAACGGGUGAGGGAAAGAGAGAAAGAGAGGUUCCAACCCUCUCUAUACACUUAACCCAUGCAAUAAUUGCAUAAAAACCCCCCAACAAGUCUCUUUUUGCAACAGCCCGAACUGGGCAUUUUCGGGGUUCGGGGACCGGUCUCUACAUGAGGGACCGGUCUUUGAGAGACCGGUCUCUCUACCUGGGACCGGUCCCAGAGAGACCUCCAGCCCAGACUUAGCCAAUUUUCAGCUUCGUCCGUUUUCGCUCCGUUUUUGCCCGUUUUCGUUCGUUUGACCUCCGAUUCGUCUCAAAUCGAACCGAGACUCUUCAAACAUGUUUUCAAACAUGUUUUCAUCAUCUUUCCUUCCUCACUAAUGCCGGAUUUAGCUCACGGCCCAAUUUAGCCUUUCGGGUUCCGUUUCCGCGCCUACGCGCACCGAAACGCUCGAUAGCUCCCGAACUUCAUCAAACUUCACCGGGACCAUUCAAACGGCUCUCCAAUCGAAUGUACACCGUAACUUAAUAGUUUUAGAAGUCCGGUACCUUACACUAAUGUUGUUCCGGUUUUUGUUCUUGUGAGCGAUGACAUCGAUUCGUUCCAAAUUUACACUCUCUGGCCAUAAUAGAACAAUUUAAUUAGGUUUUACGCUUUCUUCGAUAAAAUGAGAAAAAGCACUCGUUGCAAAGUUAUACUGUUAUGGCGCAACUGAGUAGUCUAAAGUUGUUCCGGUUUUUGUUCUUGUGAGCGUUGACAUCGAUUCGUUCCAAAUUUACACUCUCUGGGCAUAAUAGAACAAUAUAAUUAGGUUUUACGCUUUCUUCGAUAAAAUGAGAAAAAGUACUCGUUGCAAAGUUAUACUGUUAGGGCGCAACUGAAUAGUCUAAUGUUGCUCCGGUUUUUGUUCUGGUGAGCGUUGACAUCGAUUUGUUCCAAAUUUACCCUCUCUGGGCAUAAUAGAACAAUAUAAUUAGGGUUUACACUUUCUCCGAUAAAAUGAGAAAAAGUACACGUUGCAAAGUUAUACUGUUAGGGCGCAACUGAGUAGUCUAAUGUUGUUCCGGUUUUUGUUCUUGUGAGCGUUGAAAUCGAUUCGUUCCAAAUUUACACUCUCUGGUCAUAAUAGAAUAAUAUAACUAGGUUUUACGCUUUCUUCGAUAAAAUGAGAAAAAGUAUUCGUUGCAAAGUUAUACUGUUAGUGCGCAACUGAGUAGUCUAAUGUUGUUCUGGUUUUUGUUCUUGUGAGCGAUGACAUCGAAUCGUUCCAAAUUUACACUCUCUGGGCAUAAUAGAACAAUAUAAUUAGGUUUUACACUUUUCUUCGAUAAAAUGAGAAAAAAUACUCGUUGCAAAGUUAUACUGUUAGGGCGCAACUGAGAAGUCUAAUGUUGUUCCGGUUUUUGUUCUUGUGAGCGUUGACAUCGAUUCAUUCCAAAUUUACACUAUCUGGGCAUAAUAGAACAAUAUAAUUAGAUUUUACGGUUUCUUCGAUAAAAUGAAAAAAAGAACUCGUUGCAAAGUUAUACUGUUAUGGAGCAACUGAGUGGUCUAAUGUUGUUCCGAUUUUUGUUCUUGUGAGCGUUAACAUCGGAUCGUUCCAAAUUUACACUCUCUGGGCAUAAUAGAACAAUAUAAUUAGGUUUUACGCUUUCUUCGAUAAAAUGAGAAAAAGUACUCGUUGCAAAGUUAUACUGUUANA